GUACGGAGGCAAGGUUGGUGGUGAAGGGUUGCCUACUUGACCUUCACUUGCCCUUAAUAGUUGGGUAAGAUAAUGUAUAUCUUGCACUACUCCUAAUUUUUAUUAGAUUCCCAUAAUGCAUUUACACUUUUUGUACGGAAUUGGAAACAAGAAAAUCUGGAAAUGGAAAUAGGAAAAUUGAAAUUUCAUAAAUAGUGUAUUACUCUUGAAAAUUUUAUAAAUUAGAUUACUUUUCAUUGAUUAAAAAAGAUAAUAAAAUGAUUGUUAGUUGACUAAAUCAUCCUUGUAACAAUGUUUAUUUUAUUAAAUUGUAAUAUGCACUUUGCUGUACACAAAUGUAUGUGCAUAUACAAGUGCUAGCACGUGCAUAAAGGGUAAUUUCAUAAUCUUACUUACAUAAUAAAUUAUUUUAUCAUUUAAGAAUAAUUACCUAUAUCCCAUUUACAUAUUUGUCAAAAGUUAUAUCCUACUUAUAAAUUUCAAUUCUUUCUAUUCCAUUUUUUCAAAAUUUCCAAAACUUAACCACUGGGAUUUCUUUGACAUUAUCCUAAGUUUUCACAGCUACUUGCCGUUGUUCAAAAACUAAGGGGUCCAAAUGAAAAAUUAUCCGUAGCAAACAUAAAGAAUAUGUAACGAAAAAAUGAAGGAAUAAUUUUAGAAACGUCCCCAUGGAUUUCUAACAGUUUCAUUAUCAUCCCCUAAAGUUUUAAAAAUAUUACUAACCUCCCUUGAAACUUAUAUCCUUGUAACAAUUUACCCCAAUUCAAAAGAACAGCAAUAAGCAAAUGAUUUUAGGAGUGAUAAGAUCAUUUGAUUCCAAAAGUACCCCUUGCCUAUGAUAAUAGUUAAUUUACUUAUUCAAUCUAACUUAUUAUUUCAAUUACAGGGUCGUUAUUACACAUGAUUAAUAAAAAAUUUUCAUCAUUUGCAACUAAAAAGUAACAACUUUCGAAAUUUAACAAACGAAAAGUACUACUGUCCUUUUUUAAUGCCAAAUUUAUUUUUCUAAUGUAAUCAAAUUAUGGUUAAUUUAGUUUGUAAACAGCCCAAUUAUUUUUCAUGUUUGAAUCCUUUUAUUCAUCAAGUACAUCAUAUAUAACUCCUUUUAUCUGUCAAAUACAUUAAUAAAAAAACUGCACGUAGCAUUAGUUCCCUUUUCAUAUAGCAAAUACGUAGCAUUAGUUCACUUUCAUAUAGCAAAUUAGUUGUUUUUUAAAUUUCAAAUUAUGGUCAAUUUAAUUAAAAUGUUUUGAUUGUUUUUCUCCACAAAUAUGCACAAAAUAUCUUAAGUUGUAAAGAUAGCCGAGUCAUUUUAACCCCAAUGAUGUGAGCAUUGGGUCCCAAAUUAAUGAUAGAGAAGGUAAGUGAUUAUUUUUAAAACUUUGGGGGAGAGAAUUGAAAUUAUUAGACAUAUUAGGGUAGAUUUCUAAAAUUAUCCAAAAAUAAAAGGGUUAAAAAAGAAAGAAAAUAAAAUAAAAGGUUGAAUGUCGGUUGUAAGAGGGUUAAACAUCCCUAUCAGUAGUGCUGAUUCAGUGAAGUUUCUGGUUGAUGCCAUGAUCUCAAUUUCCUCUUACUACUGCUCAAGAAUCUUCCCUAAAACUCUGCUCAACCUUAAAAAUACCAAAAAACCUACUUCCCCAUUGCCCUGCUCAUCACUCCUAAAGCAACUACUCUCUCCAUCGUCAACUCCUGUUCUUCAGGUUCGAGCAAUGGCUGAUUCUGCUGCUGUUUCUUCCCCUUUCAAGAAAAUCCAAAUUCAAAGGGAUGACACUGUAAGUUUAAUUUCUGAUGCGUAAUUAAUUUUAAGGAUUUUGAUGAAAUGCUUGGUGUGCUCUUUGUAUAUUCCUGUAAUUUUUUGUGGGAUUUGUGAAAGUGCUGAAAAUGUUGAUGACCCUGCAAGUUUGAAUUUUGGUGCAGGAUUGAUUUUUAAGGUUUUGAUGAAAUUGCUUUAUGGGCUUGUACUAUAGUCUUGUAAUUUUUUUUUGUGGGAUUUGAGAAAUGUCGAUGAAAAGAAUCAUAUGAAGCGUUAAAGCUGAAAAAGAUUCUUGCUUUUUGCCUAAGCUAGAAAGAUUCUUGAUGCUUCUAUUGUUCAUAUUUGAUGAAUUAUUUGAUUGUGGCAAUUAUUAAGAUGUUUGAGGACAAUAUUAUUAUCUGUGUCAAAAUUAGUUUUUGAAAUACCAGCCAACAGAUUAAAAGUGAAAAAAAAAGGUCCUCCAUUUUGUUGUAAGCAAUGUUGGAGAAAAGUUAAAAUGGUUGUGCAUAAUCUUUCUUUUUGCAGUCAAUUUUCUGGUAUAAUGGCUUAGGUCUAAAUUGAUGAUAUUGAGAAAAUGCUUGAAGCUUUUAUGAGAACUUUGUACUGAGUUUGUAGAUAUGAUGUGAAUGCUGCGGUCUUUUACUUAGCCAAUGGCCAUAGGCUCUUUCUUGGUCAUAUACAUGGAGAAUUUUACUAGUCCUGGCUUUCCUUGCUUUAUCUAAUCUAAUGUCUGAACCCAAUAAAUGGCGGAAAAUAUGACCAUGGCCCUCCCAACAGUUGACAUGUUUAACUGCAGUUUUAAGCAGUUAUUUUUAUGGCAUGCUAAAUGUUCUAGUAUAUACUUAUCAUGGUUUGAGUUUGGAGACUGCUUCCUUGUGUAAAGAAGUGGAAUAGAGUUCAUGGUCAUUGAGAGUUUAUGUUGGUUUUUGUCUUUUUCAUUUUUGUUAUUCUUUUGGGUAUAAACUGAAGUUCAGUGAGAGUGUUGUGGCUGCUUGGACAGACAUUUGAUGCUUAUGUAGUGGGGAAAGAGGAUGCUCCCGGGAUUGUAGUUCUUCAAGAGUGGUGGGGAGUGGAUUUUGAGAUCAAGAACCAUGCUCAGAAAAUUUCUCAGUUUGAUGGUGGCUAUAAAGCACUUAUACCUGAGUAAGAUCCUUGAUUAAUCACAAGACUAUGGCUGCACACGGUUUUGUUGGCUUUAAGAGUCACAUAUCCUUUUUUAGUUGGUUUACAAGUGUUUAAUGACUUUCAUUGUUUGAUGUAGUUUAUAUCGCGGGAAGGUUGGUCUUGAUGUUGCUGAAGCACAGCAUCUGAUGACAGGUCUUGACUGGCAAGGAGCUGUCAAGGACAUUCAAGCUUCUGUUAACUGGCUCAAAGCAAAUGGUUCAAAGAAGGUUUAUUUGAACUUCUCUUAUAGCUGAUUAACCAUUUUGCAGUGUCUCAAAUGUUUCAAUCAGCACAUUAUUGGAAAAUACUACAAGUAAGAGGGGAAAGAAGACAAUGUUAAAUAAACAAAGAAAGCUUAAUCAACCAAUUUUUUGUUGUUAACACUGAGUUUUUCUUGCCAAAUUUUAACUCAUUGCCCUAUGGUCAACAGCUAAAGCUCUUCUGCAGUUGUUUUUGGAAUCUGAUUGCUUUGCUUAUCUGAUUAGGCCGGUGUAACUGGAUUCUGCAUGGGUGGUGCCCUUAGCAUUGCAAGUUCUGUGUUGGUCCCUGAGGUUGAUGCAGUUGUAGCCUUUUAUGGAGUUCCUCCACCAUCACUUGCAGAUCCUGCUCAAGCUAAGGCACCUGUGCAGGCUCAUUUCGGUGAGCUUGACAAUAUGGUUGGGUUCUCGGAUGCGAAGGUAUUUUAACAUUUUUUCUGCUGAAAUAUAGGUGGAUUCUCUGUCUUGAUUGAAAUUUUUCAUGCUGUUCUGUUCUACUGGCCUUGAUCACUUAAAUGUUUUAACAAAAUUUAAGCUCAGCUGUCAUCAUGUUUUCUCAUGCAAAGAUCCAUUAAAUAGUUGGCACAUAAAUUCUAAUCCCUCAGUGGUGAUCUGAAAGACUAAAUUUCUUGGAAUGUGGAUUCAGUGAAUUAUAAGGAUUUUGUCCAGCUCUCUAUUAACAAUUGGUUUGUCAGUCUGCUGCUAAAUUAAAAUGGUAACUAACUCCAUGUAGCCUGAAAGAGUUUCCAAAAAAGGUGGAUAUGAAAUAUGCACUUUAAAAAAAUUCAGUAUUUAUGUGAACAUUGUAAUGCUUUGGGUUUUGCAGAGACAGUUAUGGUUCUCUGCCUGGGUGUUGUCCUAACAAAUAUAAGAUCACUAAUGUCAAAGAAAAUCUAACAAUUAAACCAUUGGCUUUACGAAUGACUGCAGAAAAGAUGUACGAAUCAAAGCAGGAACAUUGCCACUUAAUUAUGUGGAGUGCCUGCAGCUUCUUUGUUGCUGAAAACAACUCAUUUCAUUUACCUCUAAGGACAUCCAUAUUCCAUUCAUGAUUAACUUCCUGAUUUUGUAGUUUUGCUUGCCCCCAACCACUCUGAUACCCCUUCCAGUAAGUUGUCCCUGGUAGGCCACUAUAUUUAUUUUUAGUUGUACACAAUUGCUGGUUGCCUCAGUUAGAUUUCUAAUUCCUUACUGCUAGGGGUACGAUUUAUAGAUUAAACUUUUAACAAGAUUAUGUCCUGAAUAUAUGCAGAUUUGAGGUUUCUAGUGAUUCCUAUGACAAAAGAUAAGUGAGAAAAGAUUUAAGAAUCUUAUUAGAUGGAGCAUCACAAGAGGAGUGGAGUACAGAAAUAUGGUUGGGAGGGAAAAUCGAAAGAUGUUUUAGGAAUUAAAUGAUGCAAGGGAGAAAAGAAGUAUGAAUGUUCCCAAAUUACUACAAAGAAAUCCUCUUUUUCUUUCCCUAAACUAAUGUUACAACUUUAGGAAUAUGUUACUGUUCCUGUUGAUUUCGACUGAGAGAAUUGGUGAUGAAGUGAGUCCUGAAGUGCUAAGACUCUUUAGUUAAAAUCUAUAAGUAGUUCUUUAGUAUUAGAAACUGUUUUAGGCAAAUAACUAGCUUAAGUUGAACAACGCCUAAUGUUGUUACUAUCAUUGAUCAUUGUUUUGUUUUACUUGGUGGUAUUUUGUUUGUUGAGUACUGUUUUUCCUUUUUCUUUUGGGUGGUAUUCCAGAAUUACUGGAUUCAUACAGUAUAAAUUAAUGUAUGUGUUAGCAUGUCUUUCGAAAUAUGACUCUCUAGUGAUCCUAUUAGGAAGAGAGUGACACUCAGAUGAAACUAUAGACAAGACACAUGGUGGGGUCUGCUGAAUGAUCAUUUUGUGAAGUUGCAGAUUAACAUCAGAUAGAAUAUGGACUUCUUAACUUCAGAUAAAAGUUGGAAGGUGCUCCUUACUGGUAAAGGCAAUCUGGAUAAGGUGUUAAGGAGUGAGUCUUUACGCUUCUAUUGGAAAUGAUGUAUGGAAUUGUGUGUUCAUUUCUUUCUGUCACGAUUACUGGUUUUCUUUUGCAUGUGUAUUGUCUUUGCACAAGCUUACUCAUUGUCUAUAUGAAGCUUUCAUGGCCCUUCUUGUGAGCUUUCCAGUGUGAUCAAAUUUUGGAAUUGAAAUUGGGGAGUAAUGUUGAUUCGGUGAAUGUUUAUCUAUAGCCAUAGUACCCCAGGUUGAGGUGAUAACCUUGGUAUAUAAGAACUUUGGCUUCCGAAUGCGCCAAACUGGCAAAUAAUCAACCUACAAGCAGAAGGAAGAUCUUGUUGAGGCUUGUCAUCUGUUUCAUAGGUGUGAAUUUGGAUUUGCAACCAUUUAAGCCGUUGUACUUUGGUUGGCAUCAUUCAGGCAUUUGUCUGCGAUAGCCCUAAAGAACUUCAGGGUAUAGCAGGAUAUAGCUUAUUCAAAACUAAGAUGGGAAGACAUCUAGCAUCCUUCAUGAGCUGAAUGUAGUAAUGAUCCUAGUUAAAGUUGGUAAUAUAGGAAACGAAGUUCAUCUUCUAAUUUUGUAUCUGCAAAAGUUUAAGUAAUGUUGAGCAUCUUUCAUGAGCUGAAUUGAGGGCAUGAAUUUCAUCUUCUAAUUUUGUAUCUGUGACAUGUAAUAGCAGUUUGUUUCGUGAAGAGACUAUUAUAUUACUGAGCAGACACCUUUGGUGUGGAAAUCUGAUAAUUGUUUUUAGAAUCUUAAUGAAGAUUGGAGUAACUUGUAAGUUGGUUGGGAUACAUCUGGCAAGGUGGACUAGUGCACCAUUUUUCCAUUAACUUUUUGGGGGCUGCAGCAAUUUGGAAGAUAACUUAAAGGAUUCUGGAAUGGUAAAUAUAAAGGAAAAUGAGUACUAAGAAAUGUGAUGCGGUAUUUUUUUCAAGUGUUGUGCUAGAUUGAGAGUUGAGAAGCUAAUGUUUGUCUUUAUUGGGCAGAAAGAUGUGUGGACGCAACUGACUGGGAAGCUUGUGGUGGUGAACCUGUUACUGAUUAUUAGUUCAAGUCUAAGAUUUGUACUUUGACAUAUUAUUGUGGUUCCUUGUACAAAGAGAUUUGCUUUCAAGGACGUGACCUCUUUGGCUCUUUUGGAGGAGGUACCUCCAGUGACACGGUUCAAAUUUUAUUAAUACCAUCCGAUCGGUUAAUGGUCGUUGAUAAGUCUUGUGAAGUUUUGUAGGACAACACUCCUGGAAUUAAUAGCGGUGGCUGACUAAAUUUGGUGCAUUUUUUCACGUUUUAGGCUUCCUGAAUCCUUAAGUUGCAAUUGCUUUUUCAUUAGUUUAUAGCUCCAGUUAUAUUUCAUUAUCCAUAUAAGGUUUGUAAAUGGCACGGUUGAGGGUCUUCAGGCACUUCUGAGAAUUAAAUAAUGGUGUAGCCUUCAGUAUUCUUAGAGCAAUAUGUAGCCUUGCACCACUUCUAAAAUGAUAUAAUAGAAGAAAGUUGCUUAAGUAGUUUGAAUUGUAACUCCGUUGUGUAUAUUGUUGCCAUCUGAUUUGGAGUGUGUUUCUGUUUCUGUUUCUGCUGGCAUCCAGUUCAAUCACACAUCUUGGGGCUUUGUGUGUUUUAGCAUCUUUAUCUCUAAUAAUUAAGCUAUCCUAUUUGCUCCUUUCAGACUGGGAAAGCAUUGGAGGAGAAGCUAAAGGCGGCUGGAGUUCCACAUGAGGUUUAUAUCUAUCCUGGUGUUUCACAUGCUUUUCUGAACACCUCUCCUGAGGGUGCCGAAAGGAGGAAGAGUAUGGGACUGAAUGAUUCAGAUGAUGCCGCUGUUGAACUAGCAUGGGCACGUUUUCGCCCAUGGAUGAGCAAAUACUUGUCUUCCUAAGCAACUAAUUUUCUUUUGUUUGCUGGUCCAGAUAAAACCACAAUCUAGUAAAUGAUGUGAUAAAAUUGGAAGGCCUGCAGUUUGUCUUCCCCUUAGUAAGUGGUGUGGUAACAAUUUAAACUUUGUUUCUUAAAUACAGUGCUGUGAUGCGAUCUUGUAUUUUAUCCUGCAUGGAGAGUAGUAGUAUUUCAAAAUGAUUGAUCUAUCUAUUGCUAUCUCUGCUUGAGCAUUAUAGUUGUUGCUUAUAGAAAAAUUUUAUCACGGUUUGGACCAAAACUUGUUGGUCUUUGACCAAUGAGAAUGCUCCAAAAUAAGAUUGUGAAACUCAUUAAUUUCACAUUGAACACAAUCCAUCCCUGUUUCUCCAAUUGAUUCGUAUUUCAUUGGUCAAAGAUCAACUAUAUUGCCAGCUAUAAGCCUUUGCCAAAUGGUUGGUCUAUAUAAUUUCUUUUUGAUCAUGAACUUGAGAUGUUGCCUUGGGUUCUUGGUUACUUUUUUAAAGAUUGACUGGAGAGAUAGACUAACGUGCGGAGGUGCCUCAAUCAACUGCCUUUGGCUGAAACUAUUAUUCCUUGACAAAGUUAGAAAAAUCAAUGUGGUCUGAGGUAACAGGUUUUGAAUUUCUCUUGUAGUCUGUUUCAAAGUCAUUAUUAGUCCAAUAUGUCCUGAUUGAAGUCGGCAUACGGUGUUCGAUGCCUGGCCCUGAUGAGGUGGGAUUUUGGACCUUUUGGUAAGAAGAAAAUUGAAUACACAGCUUGAAGAGACCAAAGGGAAAUAGCUAUAUGGAAAAGAAAUAUAUAGGAAUUAGAUGUAUUAUGUCUAUUUCUGAAGGUUCAUCUAUUGCUAGCUAUUCCAAAGACUUUUUCUUUUAGUUUUUAGUUGCUCACAAGUGUCCCUGGUCGAUAGAACAUUUCUUUUGAUUUUGAGAAGCAUUUAUUGGAGAUAGAAGAUGAAGAGUUCUUUGGUUAAUUAUCCUAAGGGCAUUUUGAAUCUCCAGAACUCUUAACGGGUAAAACAUCAUCUUUUUUUAUUAUUAUUAUUUGGACUCAAUAAGCAUAACUUAGGAAGACUAGGGCAAAUUUCUGAUACAUCCGUUUGGAUUAGCUGUUGUUGGGAGUGUUUUUGAAAAAUUUUACUGUAGCAGAGUUUUUAGAGGAGAUUUUGGGAUAUUUUUAGAAAAUAUUUUGGAAUAUUUAAGAGUAGUAGAAUUUGUUCACCUGAAAACUGGGAUGGAUUACAGGUGAAAACCAAGCAAAAUUUGUUCACCUGGAAAGGCUGGGAUAACUAAUUUUGCUGAGUUCCAUGGUGGAUGGAUUGGUUUUACACAUAGGGGAUCAUAGUCCAGUGUGUUGAAAAUCCAUACAUAUUUUUUACUUUUAUUUCCAGUCAUAACAUGCAAGUAAAAGAAUAGAUAUAUGGUACACUUUUCUGUUUCAUUAAUUUAUUUUUUCUUUUUGGUCAAAAUUGGUUCUUGCUGAAAUUUUCUAAAGCACACAGAAUGGACUUGACUUGCUUAAAUGUGUGCUGGAAAGAAUAGAGAAUCUGUUAAUUGGUCUUUGACCAAAUAUAGCUAAAUAGAAAAUAUCCCACGUACAAAAAGGGUUGGGUGGGGGGUCCAUUUUUUUGAAAGCUUUGAUUGAUGGGAAACUCAUUAGCAAUCCUCUUGAUACGCUAACAAAAUGUCGUCUCAAUUUCUUGCUCAUCUUCCAUUUCCAGAAACUGUCAAAAAUUUCUCUCUGCUGUUUUGACAUUUUGCAAAAUGGUUGCCAUGACCGGAUGCUUCAGAACUUUAUCUUUAGCCUUUGUUUAAGGCAAUUUAGAUCUCACCCCUUUGUCACGCCUUUUCUUUGUAUUUGGCACUCGUUUAGUACAUGAAACUCAUGAUAUCUGUUGUUUUUUUUUUUAAUUGAUCUUUGAAUCCAAAAUGCUCUGUUCUUGCUCAAAUUUACAUGUGAAUUCAAAGAACUCACAAACUUUAUUUGUUUUGAAAAAAAAAGGGUGGAAAAGAAACUAUUUAAAUAGAAAGCGCAAUUCUUUUGUACUUAUAUAUCAAGGUUUAGAGCGCUCAUCAACUUACUAACUUGAUCGGAACAUUAAUCACGUAACAAUGAGAUCUUUAGUUCAACUUUCAAACCUUCUUCUCUACAUUCGAACAAAAAAAAAGGUUAAAUUUUGAAAUUACCGAUCUAGAUCGAAUCACAUUAGAUGCGAUUCAAUUUGCGCAGCUCAUUAUUCCAACCGUAUACAGUCUGGUUCCCUUAAAUUUGGGGUACUAUCUGUCCAAGUUGGCUACUUUCCGACCAGCUAUUACACUUUUCCUUACUUUUGAAUCUUUCGUCUCAGCGCUUAGAUUGAAACGACUGGGUUUUAUUGUCAAAGCUUCUACAUGGUCUUGUUUGUGAAGAACAAAUUUGGAAUUCAAUCCUUCUGAAUAGACUGAAUAAACCAACAUGAACUUUCACAUCGUAAUAUUCCCCGAUUAAGAUACUCCAUAAAUUGAUAAAACCAGUAAAAAAAUAUGUAACAGUAAAUAUCUUUAAAAAAAAAAAAAGCCAGUGAAUGUGUACUUUUAAUCGUAGAAAACAGACGAAGUAUUCCAUCUUUAUGAAAACAAGAUGCAAAGACACAGCAGCUGAAAGCCUGAAACCGAUCACCUUAAUGAAUUAGUAAGCGCAAAUUAGCAGCUGCAUGGUUCCUAGAGACCUAGAUAUGUGAAAGCCACCAAACCUAUUUGAUUAUUAAUACGUGUUUUUCAGGAACUAAUAUAACUUUUUUUUUAGCCCCUUUGAUACCUUUUCACCCAAAUUGCCAGAUGGUCAAGAUUCGAAUUCUGAAUCUGACAGUAGAACUAAAAUAUACCUCAUUUUUUCGUUUCUUUGAUUAUAUGUUGUAAGUCUAAAUGUUGAGACUCCAUUUUUAGAAAGAAGAGUAAUUGUUGACAAGCAAAAUCGUGUUAUCACUACUAAGUUAAUCGUUCUUCUCAAUCAUAACUAAUUUAGAAAUUGACAACUAUAAUACAGACAAACCUUUCUAGUUUAACCGCUUCUGAUUCUCAUUUUACCACUGUCCUACUUAAUCACACAUGUUACACUGUAUGAAUAACGUUUGAUCAAGUAACAGUUGCAUCAAAAGAGAACUGGUCUGAUACCUUGAAUUCUCAAUCUAAUAAUGCCUAGGGGAUUCAAUCAGAUGGAAAAGUAUUUAUGAAUCAUAUGGUCCAGUUUGAUGCCUUUUUGACUCGUUCACUCUAAUUUCGAGUAUGGUCCAAAUUCCCUUUAAAGCAGCUUUUAAUUGUAGUGGCCCUAUUCUUUUGAAAUUCCAUGGACCUGUCUUUCUUUCCUUUACGAGUCCUAGUGCCUUAGAGUAGAAAUAAGUAAAUGCUAUACCGACCCACAAGAGGAAUUAGAGUUCUUCUGAAAGCUACUUCGAGAUGAUUUAGAAUACGUUUCGGUCUUAAUUUUCCUUUAAUUAUUUGAAGAUAAUUCAUUUUUUUGUCCUUUCAUUUUUGAGAGCCCAAAACCUAUGUUGUGAAGAUUCCAUUUUAUUGAUUUGUUUUUUUAGUGUAAGUGAAAGUUUUUAAAUUCAAGAUCUCUCACUUAUACUUCCUUCUCUAGUAUCACCCAACCCAUCCCUUGAUAGUUAACAAUAAUGAAAUGCAGCUUUUUUGGUCUUCCAUUGAAAAGGUUGCUAGAGAGUAGGCAGUGUCAAAAUUUAAACAAAAGACUUUUUCUUUUGCCUUUGGUUUUAUUUUUCUUUAUUUGACGCCAUUUCACGUACGCUAACAUUUUUAUUUUAAUUUUCUUAGUUUUUUUUGGACAAAUUCAACUUCUAGGGGCGGCCUAACGGUAAAGGGAGGACUGUUAGAGUUUUCGCCACUAUCAGAUUCAGGGUGUUAAUCCUGUGCAUGGCAAUUAGAGAUAGGAAAUGUGUGAGGAAGGGUGGGAGGGCAAAAAAUAAUUCAGUAAAUUCUUGCUUAUAAUUACUUCCACUGAAAGGAUAAAAUUUCAAAUUUCACAAAAUUUUAUCAAGUGAUUUGAGGUUUCAUUGGCACGUAUCAAGUAUAAAUUGAGUAUGCAAAUCAACCGAUAUGGAUAUAAGCAUACAUGUAUCUACUUGGUUUUCUUUUGCUUUUUUGGUAAGUGAUAUAGUUUUCUAUAACUUUAUCUUUUCUCCAGUUAAUACGUUGCUUUGUCAGAUUCACAUCUUCUUGGAAAACAGUGAUCACACAGGAGUGAUGGAUUAGUGAUUUAAGUCAACUUCUGUGGUUAGCAAUUAAUUUUGGACAUCUUGGAAGUUGAGAUGUUCCCUAGAUGAAUUUAUUUCUUACCAGAACAUCAAUUAGCACAAUUGAAUUGGCAGGAAGAAAGAUGAGGAGAACUGAAAUGGACUUGCAAACAGUUUUAUGGACGUCUGAGUUUAGAUAUCCACAGAUUUUGCUAAUUUUAUUACGUCUUCAACAACUUAAUUGUUAAGUCAAAACUUAACAGAAACCGUGGUGCGCUCCACAAAAAACUGAGGUUGCAUUAUAUUGAGCUAGUAUAAUACCUCCUUCGAUUAAUCUCAUAUGCAUUGACAGGAUAGACACCGUUAGUUUUGGAUGAACGACAAUUAUAUAAAAUUUAAAUUUAAAACUCAACUUUUAUACAUGUCAUAAAUUUAAUCAUCAUAGUGUAUACAUUAUCAGUAUCUAUAAGAUUUACUCUAAUUUCGUAACCAAUUUUAUCUAGAGCCCUUGUUUAGAAAUUGGAUAUUAUCAUGUCUCUAUAUAUUGACAUUUCAUAGUUGCAGCCAAUCAAGAAGUAUAAGGACAAGAUCUGCAAAACUAUGAUGAAUGCUUGAGUUGAAGAUUAUGACUAUUUUCAAAUUUCUGUUUCACCUUAAUUGAGGUUAUAUUCUUUAUCAAGAGAAACGAAAGCAGAAGGGUAAAUGGUAACUUUGCCUGCAUUUUUUUUAAUUCACAAUAAUAAAAGUAUAAAGAGCAAACUCUAAGAAAUGACGUUAAUAUUUUGCUUUUCGUGUGGAAAAAGAUUAAGUUAAAUUAAGGUGGUCCAUCCUAUCAUUUAUUGGAUUAGGUGCACUCGCAAAACGUACUAAAUGUUGGACCAUUUCUUCAACCUGAAAUUGAUUAGAUCAAUAUCUUUGGCAUUGAGAAAGAUCAGAGUUUAAAAGAUGAUGCACAAAGGAGAAAAAAAAAACAGAUUUUAUGUUCCUGAUAAAGAUGUUUGUUACCAAUUCCUUAAAUUUGUUUUGAUAGAAUUAAGUACCAUUCUCAUUUUUAAUGUUGCUUUAUAUUCUUUGCCUCGAGUUGUCUUACCUUCACAUUUUGUGAACCACUACAAGUUGACCUUAAUUAAGUCUUGAUGGUGUUGGUUUUUGACCAACCGUAUUAGAUAUAGAUGGAGUUUGAAUCAAUUUGUGAGCCCUAAAGAUUUUUUUAGCACGAUUACAUCAUUUAAGAGUUUGAAUCUUAGUUCUAUUGUCAGUACAAUUAGAAUAACAAUGAAGUGCAACUAUGAAGGCAUACAUUACAAUUUCUUGCGUAGUUCUUCCUCCAUUAGAAAUAAAAAAAAAAAAAAAAGAGUAAAAGUAAAAUCACCUAAGGCUGAGGAGGGUCGGUGAGAACAGACCAACCUAAGUUCGACCUGAUUGGCCUGAAAAAUUAGGGCGAGCAAUAUAUAGUAUUUAGUAGAGUGACUUCGGGCUUUAAAUGAGACCUAAUUUAAUUGUGAGUUGAGAUUUCAUGAGUCGCUCAGAAUAGAGUUCAAACUGAACAUUUAAGUGUAUGUAUACUAAUGUAUUUUGUUUGAUAAUUAUUUGAAUUUAAUGUAUAUAAUGUGAAAUAUAUAUAAUCAUAAAACAACACAAAUAUUAUAUGCACAUCACAUGUAAUUAUGAAUUUACCGUGAGUUUGGGUUUAGGCUCGAAGUUCUAAUAUGUUUUUCCAUCAAGUAUGAACCUUAUACAUUAAACUGAACUCGUUUGACAAGUGAGUUUUUUGAGUGUAUGUCUAAAACUUUACUGUAACUUACUGUAGAAGUUGUAGAAAAAAAAUUUUUAAGCGUGUAAAUUUUUGAAUAUUUUGAAAUAUAUAGUUUAAAAUUUUUUUUGAGAUUAGUGUAGUUAAAAUUGUUAAAAAACUUGUAACAGAUAAAUUUGACCAAAAACUUACUUUGCCAAACGAGGAAGAGCAAGUCUGAAAAUUCUACUCUAUUUUGCCCAACCAAACUUAAACUUGUCACAAGUCAGUUCAAGAGAACCAAUUGACAACCCUACGCAUGCUUGUGAUAUCACGUUAUUGUCCUGAUUUGGAUCCACAUAUGAUUUAAUACACAAAAAUCUCAAAAGGAUUGAACAUAUACUUCCCUCAUCCUUAAUCUACUUGGAGUAGGAGAGAGGAAAACUUGGAGGGACAAGUCUGCAGUUAGGUUGACAAUGAAUGAUGGGAUGGCCAUUUUUUACACAUGUUGACCAAAAGGGCGGUAGCCGCAGUAGGCAGCAGCAGUAGCUCGGGAUCUGCACCGUGAAGUUCUUUUGGAAAUUGUCUUUUUUGCAUAAACUACUCAUUUCUAGUUGUCAUUGGUUAACUAGUCUCCAAACUGACUUUGAACCUUGAGAGAAACACAUUUGAAUUUAUGGAGACAGUUUUGCAUAUUUCAAUAUUCUCACAAAGUACACAUCCUACAAGGUCCCGUUUGGUCCUGUAAUUCAGUGGUCAAGACUCAAGAAUAAGCAUACUCAUGUUUGGCUGGCCAACUUGAAAAUGGCUUUCGGAAGAAUAGUUUUUGGAUAUCACCCAUCACCUACGUGAAGUUUGAAGCCCUAAUCGAUCCAGGCUUUGUUUUGCUUUUCUUUUUUCUUCCAUUUUGCUUAAUUCUCAAAUUCAAAUUAGGAACUCUUCAUUAAAUUAGUGUUAAACAUAUUGAAACAAAGGAUAUCCAAGUACUUGCGUGUAUGUGGAAUCAUCUUAAAGGGGAGUUCUUGAAGGAUAAACUCAAUAGUCCCAACUCUAAAAGUUGAAAAAUUAGAACUUUUUUUUUCGACAAAUUUGAGAAUAGGGUUUUGAAAUUUUGGGAAAAGUAGCUAGGGAGUCUGUUUGAAUAUUUUGCCAAAAUCUAAAUUCACCGUAACAUUCUUUCUUCCCAAGUAAAAAGCACCAUAAGAUGGCUGUGGGGUUAUGCAGGAGCAAAUGAGUAAACCCCCACAAAUUUAUUUUCCCUACUUUCAUUUGUUUAUUUUUUUGGCUUGUCUCUUAGUCUCUUGGUAGAUAAAAUAAAUGAAUUGAGUAAACAAAUUCUCAAAUGUUUGAAAACGAUGCAUCAACUGGAGGAAGAAGUGUACACGUUGAUAUCUCAUUUACAACAUAGAAAAUCAUAUCUAUGUGAAAAGUAUCUUUCUUCCUUCAUGUUGUCCCCUAACUGUGCUGAUAUUAUUAAACAAGACUGGUCCUUAGUUCAAGGGCCUGCAGUCUUCUUCUCUUUCUGAAGUCAUUGAAGCCCCACAUUCAUUAUUUUUUUUUUCAAUUUCCUAUUGAUUAGCUUUUCAAUUCUUUCAUGGUCCACCCUCUGUCCGGAUUUUCAACAUUUUUGAUUAAUUUAUUCCGGUUUUUCCGUCUGCAUUAUCGUCAUCAAAAUCUCAGUCUUCUUCAACUUCAUACUAUAUUAUGCUCUUCCUAAUGUCAAUUAUUUUAAUUGGUUGUUAGCAUGAUAAAUGAAUUGGGCUCAAAUAAAGUCAUUAGGUUGCGUGCAUUAGUGAUGUAUGAUUGAGAAUCAGCACCGUUUUGCUCUCCCAAUUUAGUUGGAAACUUUAAUUGACAACUAAGGCAGGAAUACUUCAAGUCUAUACAACUAACGUGAUUCAAUGUGAACGUUGAGGUAGUUUUGGAAUGAGGAAGGAAGACGUGGAGUGUAUAGACAGGGUACAUAAAAUAAAAUCCUCAUUAUUGAAAAUUGGGCACUUGAGCACGAAUAAAGAAUAGAUAUUAUACUUAAAAUCAAAUUCUCAUUUUAACACAAAAUCAGUGAUCUUUUUUUUUUUUUUCUUUUGGGAGGUAUGUAAUUUUUUUCCCAAUAUAAAACAUAAAAUUGGAACUUUUAUCUGAAUUUACUUGGAGUCUUUACCGCCAUAGCAUGAUUGGAACACAUUAAGAAAAGGCUCGUGCUAUUUACAUAAGAGAAAGAAUUAAUAGGGAACUUGAAUGCCAUAAAUUCACUUGGAAUUCUGCACAUAUGUGUAGUGUAGUUGGUAUGCCAAGUCUCAAUCUAGUAAGGGUGGAAUUUCUAUCGUUGUAAUUACACAUGAAACUUAAUCUAGUUCCACGAAGUUGUUUUCACAUCCAUUACAUCUCUUCUUCGCUUGCUUACAUCUAUUGAUCUCAUUCUAUUUUUUACAAUUAUAAUCUGCAAUUUUUUCUUUGAUUAGGCAUGCCAUAUUGACAUUCUAAAUACUCAGUGUGGAAAGGAGUUCUUUUGGUCAAGAAUAGGUUUGAGCAUCCACAACAUUAAUUUUAUUUUUGGUAUCUCUUUCCCCUUCUAUUUUUCUUUCCCACUAUAUAAUCAUUAUCUGUAGGAUUUUUUUUGGAAAAAAAGUAGUUUGUGUGUGUGUGUGUGUAUAAAUUCUAGUAGAGAAAAGAUGGAAUUUAAGAAAAGGGGAAAGGGAUGAAAAAUUUUAAAUCUGAAACUUCUAAUUCUUGAAAUCUCAAUUUGAACCACUAAAUCAAGACUUCCUCAACAGUAUGAAAUAUAUUUGUACAUAUUGGUAACUUUGCUUUUUUUUUUUUUUUUUGGAUGGCUAUAGCUUGUUUUGACCCUAAACAAAUUAACUAUGGAAGGAAAAGCCAACAACAAUGUGAAAGUAAUCGCCAGAGUUUUCUGAAUGUUCAAGUUAUCAGCUAUUGCAAUCCAAAUAAAAGAAAUAAAAAGAACAAAAGUUUCAAGGCGUGAUUUGCAUGUUCUGAAGUUCAAGUCACACUUUGGUGGUUCAAACAUAUUCUCUUGUAUCCAUUCUUGAAAGGCAUCUAAAACUUAAUAUUCAGUGACUAGAAAGUCAAGAAGACGAGUUAAAACCGUGGCUAGGCUGUUGACAACACUAAAUGAGAAAAUUCAACCAAAAAACCAAAAUUUUCAUGUCUUAUGUUUUCCUUUCUUUCUUUGUGGAGUAAAGAAUCCUAUUGUGUUGAGAAGAAAAAUAAAAUGUAAAAGCUUGUUUGAUGCGAAUUCAUGUCGGUAUAUCGCAAAGAAAAAAAAACAUGGGAACAUGUAAUCUUCUCCUUUCUUGGUUGUUUAAAAAAUUAUGUAGUUCCAAUCAGGUACAAAGAUAUGUGAAACUUGAUUUUCUUGAUUCUUAAGUCAAGAAAACGAGUUAAAUCCGUGGCUAGGCUGUAGACAACCUUGCAAGAGAAAAUCCAAUGAAAAAAAAUCCAAAUUUAUAAUGCGUUAUGUUUUCCUUUCUCUCUCUCUCUCUCUCUCUCUCUUUUAAGUUGGGGUUGGGGGAUGAAAAUAAGAUUUUCUUUUUGUUAAGAAGAAAAGUAAAAUGUAAAAGCUUCAUGCCUGAUUUUGAAGCUAGAAUUCGGAUCCCCUUCAAAAAAAAAUAAUAAUAAUAAUAACAGAAAGACGGAUUGUCAAAGACUGAUUUUAAUGGCUACGUAUUGGAAAUUAGAUGAAUUCUGAUAGAUUUUGCCCUUUACCUAUUUCUUUUGCAAUGAUUUAUCAAUAUUCCAUAACAUUUUAGUUUAAUGUGAAUCAUGAAAGGAAUAUUUUCUCUCUCAAAUACUUUUCUAUAGACCUGAUAAACAUACCAAAAUCUUAGACAGCAAAAGUGCAUAUGAAGACUCUGCAAUAUUUUCUUAAUUAAUUUCAUUAAACAAUUUUGUGCAUGCGUGCACGUACCAAAAGUAAAAGGUACUUUAAAUUCAUCAUUAUGCGAGAAAGUCGGCAGGCAACAACAAUUGCAAAACAAAAACACAGAAAAUGGGAUCAUAAUCUUGUCAAUAGAAAAAAUAAUCUUGACAAGAAAGAAUUAAAAUGAAUUGAAUCACGUUUUAGUCCUGUUUUUCUUCUUAAACAAUAGUAUAUCUUAACUUUUUGUAACCUUUUGCAUGCAAAGUACUAUUUGUAAAGGAUUUACUUCUUAAUUGCCUUAAUUUCGAAAUAUACCAACAUCCGGACCUACUUGUUGGAACUCUUUUGCAUCUUGUAGACCAUACCUCUGCUCUCUUUCCUAUUGCUUUCUUUGAAAUUCACCCUCAUUGGUACCUAUCAUUUUAAUGCCUUUAAUUUGAGUCUUUGACUCUUUUUCUUCUGAUAAAAAGUAGAACAUUUAAGAUGUUCUUUUAGAAAACUUAGAUGAUGAAUUUUUCGUUUUCUUUUCCAAGUAGUUGCAUCAUAAUUUCUUAAAAAAAUAUUAUGUACCCAUCCAAUAUGUAACAAUUGAUACAAUAUUUUGAGAUUGAGUAAAAAUUUAUGAUUUCAUCUUGGUAUAUUUUCUUUUUUAUUUUACCUGUCGUACUGAAAUUGUUGGAGUCGUUAAAUUCAACAUUUGCAUCUUUUCUUCUCUGUCAAUCUUGGAUUAAGUGCUCAUUAAUGCAACAGACUUAUUAUAUGUCAUCAUAUACUUGUGUUUUUACGUAUUUUUCAUUACAUUAUUGUCAUUAUUAUUAUUUUUAACAGGGAAAGGAUUUAAGAAAUAGGAAAGAAAAUAAAACAUUUGAACUCAAAACCUUUAAUUCCUGACGCUUCAACUUUAGCCACGACUAUGUAUCUCAUGUAUUCUUUUGCUUAUGUGGAAGCUAACAGGAAGACUUGAGGUUCAAAACCACAGCCUAAGUUGCACUACUAAAGCUUAUCUUUCCCCCACCAAAGGCGGGGAGAUCACUACUGAGGCUAUGCACGUGCAGACGCCUCGAGUGCUAAAAAAUCCAAAUUGGCUUCAAACAUGAAGAUGAUAAAAGGAAAAUGCGGCUGCAUACUAUGGUAAAGUAAGAUGUCUUGUCCAAAUUGAACCAGAAUCCUUUCAUUUCUUGUCUUUUUUUUCUUCAAUUUGACUAUUUAGGUGAUACUUUUUUCAACUUAUGCCCUGUCCAAGGAAGGUAUGAUCAUAUAAUCAAAAUCAAACUCUACUGUUGGAUUAUGAGAUAUGUGUAAUACAAUCCAAAAGGUUUCUUGCACUACUCUAAUGUCUAUUUUGUCUACUAUACUUGUCAUUUGACUUAAAAAAUACAUUCAUAUGGCACGCCAAAAGUUGAAAGGAGCGUAUAAAUAUCAUUAUCCUGCACUGGUUAUGAAUUCGAACUGUGCUCAUUUGGAGAAAAAUUUGUUUUGAGCUCUGUCUGGCAACGUUCUAGAAAAAUAAAAAAUGCAUCCAUAAAAUCUUCUUAAAUUUCCCCAAAAUUUGGAGAAUUUAUAUAUGACAGGAAUAAUCUAGGUGUUACUUAAAUAGUUUUCGGACACUGUACUUGUACAAUUUCUUGAUUUCCUUCCUUUUUUUUCCCUAGGUUUUGGAAAACACAGUAUUACGGAAAAUAACAUAUAUAUCUUUGGAGAGGACAAAGGAAUAAUUAUAAUUUUUUUUGUAGAAAGUACUUUUGAAAUCCAGGAUUCAAAUUAACAAAGGAUGAUACAUAUUUAUCCUCGUUCUAACAAGUGAAAUUUUAGACAAAGAUAUUUAGCAAAUAAAUUAGACAAGCAUUAUCCAUGAAAUUCAAUUGCUUACGAAAGUCCUCACAUGAAUUCUACCAGUGCCAAACCUGAAGAAGAAAGGCACCUUGUAACGUGAAUAAAGAAGUCGAGGCAUGAGGAAAGAGGAAAAGAAACAUCUAUCCUCUUUUUGACUCCCUUCUAAAAAGGCAGCCCGCAAAAACUGAUUAUUCUCUGCAUGCAUUGCACGUAAAAGACAAUUACACAAUGAUCUCUUGGGAAAUAUAUGAAAAGAAUUUCUAAAAAAUAUCUGGGCCUGUCAAGUUGCUGGUGGACUGUUUCUGUUUUACACUUUUAAACACUUUUUCUUGUACACUUUUGGUUUUUUAUUUUUUUUUAACGAAAAAGUUCGGGUGAGUUCGAUUUCAAUCAUCACCACAAAUUAGGACAUGCUUUCGGAAUCAUAGAUUUCUUGUGGUGGAUUCUUAUAAAUUGUCUAUCAAAACAACAAUUACAUGUAAUUCGUCCUUACUAAUUGAGCCAACUUGUACCCUUUUAUUAGUUUCGUUGAACAAAAUGUUUACUUCAGUGCUACCAAAUGAAAUUGAAUACCACUUGUUGCUGAUCUUUUGAACCUUUAUGCUAUUUUCGUUACUAGAAAUGGAGUAAUGACCAUAAUCAAAAUUUUCUUUUGUAUAAUUUCUUCGUUGCCAGCUUCAUUAGUUAGGUAGCUUCUCAACUUUACUAAAUCAAAAUGGAAUUUGUCCUAGUACGCUAGGUGCUUCAAUGUGAUUAUUACAGACACAUUUGUUUACGUGUAAUUUUAGUUUCAAUAUAGAAUUUGUCGGCCCUUUUGACUGAAGCUGGGGAUCAAAGUCAAAUAAGACUGUGCUCUAGCCAAUUCUAAUAAGUUUCAUAAAUUCAAGCAAGUAAUUGGUAGUUCAAGAAUUAAUUUCAUGACGUUGCUCCCAAGUUUGAAUCACAAAUUAAUAACUUAACCAGUUAGAGCUCUAAUUAAAAAUCAUAUUCAAGUUAAUCUUCAGCUAUAUCUUACAUGUAUCUGAUUCAGGUUGACUCACCUAUAUUUCCAAAAUUGUUAUUUAUCUUGCACAAUAAAGUCCUAUAACCUUAUAAUAAGAAAGAAUUUACGUAGUUAACUGAAAAAUUAGCUGAAUUUGGCAUCUUUGUUAGAGGCUUUUAGCUCUUAAUCUCUUUGCACUUAAGUGGUGUUAUACAUGCAUAAAAAAAAAUUUGAACUAGAAAAAACAGGCGAAAGGAUAACUAUUGCCUCGAUAUCAUGAAAGUUUGAUGGACAGAAAUUAUAGAAACCCAUAAUUCUUUAAGUUAAUUUGAUGCAAGAUGUUAUAUAUUUACAAAUGUUACCAAGGCAGGUAACUUCUUCACAGAAUUUAAUAUAUAUGUAGUGUCAUCUGAAUUAAAAAUUUUGAUUCUUCAAUUGAGUUCUUAUACAGUUGAAUGAUAAGUACUCACAUUGUAAUAUUAUUGAUAAUCAUAUUUCUAGUAAUUGUUGAAUGUGUAAUUUGUCUUUAGCUAUUAGUAUAUGCUUGAGUGGUUUAGCAGACUUGAGUGGAAACAUACUUGAGAUUCCUUGACUCUAAAGAAAGAGGGCAUCACAUCACAAACACAAAAGAUAAGGAUUCUUGAAUGCAACAAAACAACGUAGACAAGAAAAGAAAGGGACAAAUGAAAUUUUGAAAAAAUUGAGACUCUAUUUGCCCUGAUGUGGACUGGUUUAUAUUGAAUAGUUAUUUCCACGAAAUUUCUUGAUGCAUUGAGUACCUUAAUUGUUGACAAUAAUGCAUUUCAUGCUUCAUAUCGGAAACUGUUAGUAAAUCUACCAGAAUAACAAGGAUUAAUUUUUUCUACACUGAUAGUUUAUAUACAUAUAUAUAUAUAGUCAGCAUUAGAUAAAUGAUAACUAUGCAAAAUGUGAACUUGAAAUUCAACUUUUGUAUAUAUGUCAUGGAUCCAACGGUGACAGUGUAUAUAUGCUGUUAGUGUAUAUAAAAUUUAUUCAAAUAACAAUUGUUGGUAAAAUGUUAAAUAAUAUUUUUUAUGUGAAUACAUGGUUAUAUAUAUUAGAAACAACUAAUAUAAUAGUUGUAGGAUAUGUGGUACUACAUUUUUCUUUAGAGUGUAAUUCGGAUGACUCGAACUCCAGAUCUCUCACCUUACACUCUCAUCCCCUGAACUACCUAACUCAUCCCACCCAUAUGGUGUCUUAUAUAUGAUUAUCAUUAGUUUUUUUCAUACUUAUAUUAGAAGCACAUACACUAACUAAAAAGAUAAUACUUAGGUAAGCUAAAUUUAUAGAUCCACUUUUAGACCAUAACUUAUAUUCAAGUGUCACAUAAUCAUAGUAAUUUAUGAUAAUAUAAAAGAACCGUAAGAUAAUGUAAGAAAAUCUGUAUGACUAUUAAAUGUCUACAAAUAGAUGUAUAGACUGGUUUACUUAAGUAUCGUACAGAUGAAACUACUUAGUAGAUUGGGAGAAUUUAAGAGUUUGUUUGGAUUAUAAUUUUUCAAGAGUUUUUAGAGAAAAAAUUAUUGUAGCAUUUUUUUAGGAUGUAAUGUACAUGUAAUAAAAAUGUGAUAAAAAAAUACAUAAAAGAAAUAUUCAUGAAAAAUGUAAAUUUUUUUUUUUCAGAAAAUUGCAAUCUGAGUUGGGCCUAAGUAUUUCCCUCCUUAAAAAAAGGCACACAUACUAUGGUCAAACUAAUAAGCUAACAUAACUAGUCUCGUAAUAUGAAGGGGCAAGAGGAAAACAAGGAUCAAAAACAUUGAGUGAGAUGGGGUUUGGGUAGGCCUGUCAAUGGGUCGGGUCUAGACCCGGAUCCGGACCGGAUCCGUGAAAUUAUUGCGGGUAUGGGUAGGGAUUUAAUUCCGUUUCCCGGAUCCGGAUCCGGAUCCGUUUUGUCAAACAAAAAACGGGUCGGAUACGGAAUAUAGUAUUCCGGCCCGUAUUAGACCCGGAUCCGGAUAUAAAUGAAUUAAUAAUUUAAAAAAAAUAUAUUUAUCAAUAUAAUUUGAUUAGGAUGAUAUAUUUGAAUAAAGUCAAUUUGAUUUCUUUUCUUAUUUGGUUUUUUCUUUGCAUUAGUUAGAAAUUAGUUUACAAAUAUAUUUUUUUCUCAUUUUUAUUAGAAAUUAUAAAUUCUGCUAAAUUUGUUCGGGUAGACCCGACCCGGAUCCGGGACCCGCCGGAUCCGGAUCCGGAACAUAGAAUAAAAGACCCGUCGGGUAAACGGGUCGGAUCCGGAUCCGGUAUAGUAAUUCGGGUCCGGGUCCGGAAUAAUGAAUUCCGGCCCGUUGACACCCCUAGGUUUGGGAGUAGGUAGUAGGAAGGGGGAGAUGGGAGAGAGGGUAAACCACUGGACACGUAGUUCAUAACAUUUGCAUAUAACUACUUUUUUAUGCUCAUGACAUUUUCGGUCAGAAAAAAAAUAAUUAAUUUUUUAUACACUGAUAGAAUAAAAUUUUUGACACCAACAAUUAUAGAUAUAUACCAUAUAUGUAUGAUUUAAUUUUUAAAUUUGAAUUCAUAUUGUAUACCAUGAUCUAAAUAUGUAAGUAUAAAAAAAUAUUAUACCCUGAUAGUAUAUAAAAACUCACCUAAAAAAAUUGUAGAAGAGAUUUCUAUGUUAAAAAUAUAAUUAUGUAUUUUUAAUUUAAAAAAUUAAGUUAUUUUUGUCCAAUCAAAUUGUUUAAGCAAUAAUAAUUCUUUAAUAAAUUUUACAAACUUAGCCUAUUUUAGAAUCUUCCUUUGUCUAAAAUAUUUCUCAUGCUAUUAUGUGGCCAAGAUGGCCGGGACUGCAUGACAACCGCACAGCACUGACAGCAGAAGCACUCAAGACUCAAAAGGUAGCCGACGAUGAGACGGGUGGGAUGCAGCCGUCCUACGUGGCGAAAUGUCGUCCCCACAAGUCGUCAUAGAGUGUGGCCAGUCAUUGAAAGUCGUUGACCCCGUUGCCUUGAAAACCUACUCAAUUUCUUUUAUUAAUUUUUAUUGAUAUAUUAAAUACAGUCUCCAAAGUAGUCUAGAAAGUACAAAUUCGAUAAAUAAUAAUCAUAGAUUUUAAAUAAAUUACAAACACUUUGGUCUAUUAUAUAAUUAAAUCCAAGUCAAUAUCCAUAGUAAAUUUGCUCGAAAUGCAUAAGAGCUAUAUUAAUUUUUUUCCCGACAACAUCCUUCUUACACACACAAAAAAAAAAAAGGGGAGCUAACUUAGUCGAUUACAAUAUAUUAAGCAUCCCAUGUAUUAGAUUUGAUAACAGAUUGCAAGACUUAUUCUGAAGGUAUUUAUAUUACAUUUCAGCGCUCGUAGAUUGAACAAACCAGAUCAUGCCCAAAAUUCCUGUCAAAUUUCAAUGUUCAAUUCGAUACACUUUUAUGGCAUUUUGUGAUCAAUUGCCUGUUGAACUAAUGCUUUUAUUUUGUGCAGACAUUUCAGGGAUACCUAGUUAAUUAACUUGCUUUUGUUGGUAUUGAUACUCUCUUGUUUCUACCCAAAAACGUAAUAACAAUAAUAAAAAUAACUUGGUCAAAUGAUCAUAUAGUCAAUUAACACCAACAAUUUAGCUUCACAAUGUUUCAAAUUGAUUCGCAUGCUUUAUUGACUUUUUUAAUUGUAAGCGGGCGAUUUUGAUUAUCUAACUACCCAUGACGAUCCCUCUCUUCUUAUCACCUAAUUUAUCCUUUCUCCUAUUGACUUAUUUACUUAGUUUACAAAAUUAUGUCAAAAACUAGCGACAUACUAAAAACAAUGUUUUUAAACUCGGACCGGUCAGUAAACCGGAGAGGUGGCCGGUUCGCGGUUCGACCGGUCCGACCGGUCCAACCGGCCGGUUCAAAGGUUCACUGUUUUUGUUUUUUUUUUUGUUUUUUUUUUUUUAGUAGUUAAGUACUAAGUAGGUUUCAUUUUACACUUGAACUUUACCAACAUAACUUAAUUUAAGUUAUGAUAAUAAUAAAUUUUCUAAAAGUUAUACACAAAACAUGGAAUGAUAAAUAUAAUUAAAAUAUCAUAAUUCACCACAAGUUUUCAUAAAUUCAUUAUAAACAUAAAUAGAUACAAUCCAAAUGUGCACCAAUUAUCACAAAUAAAAACACAAAAAAUAAAUUAAUUAAAUAUUGAAAUUCUUUUACAACCCUUAAAAAAAUUCAUAAAAGAGUUCAAAUUAAGACAAACUAUUUGAAUAGCAAACUUUUAUCAGUGGCAUGAUAAGCAACCACACCACCUUCACAAUUUCAUCAACUUAAGCUGAAAAAGUUAAAAUUUUAUUAUAAAAAUAUAAAUCUAAUUGCUCAAACUAAAAAAAAUUAAAAAUUUUUGAAAAACAAAUAUACAGUUAAACACAUAAAAAAUUAAUUGCUACUAAACAUUACUAAUUAACAUGUUAUAUUAAAUUCAAUGAUCCUAUACCAUUAAUUAUUUUAAAUUCAAUUAUCAAUAGCUUCGAUUAUGUGCCAACUACCAUAUUUUUGACCAACCCAAUGUUAUUAUUUGUAAUUCCUACCCAAUUCCUACACGGAUGUGCACUACUUUUGCAAAAAUUUCAUCCUUAAUUAAUCGAAUAAAAAUAAAACAAAAAUGAGGGAAACAUAUGAAAAUUGAGGGGAAAAAGAAGAAAAUGCAAAAAAUCAACUAAAGAUAAUAAUAUAGAAAAAAACCUUGAAAAGAAAAAAAUUAAACUUACUAAAAUGUUGGAAAACAAGAAAAGUUGAAAUUUUCAACUUGUUUACAAUCUGCUAAAGAUAAUAACCAGAUAAUAAUGGUGAAGACUUGAGAAAAUCUUGUUGUGGAUAUUUGGGUUAAAAAUGGUUAAGAAGAAAAAAUUGAAAAAAAAAAAAUAAGAGAAGAACUUGAUGUUUUAAUAUAUUUUUUAGUCAAGUAGAAUUCUUAACAAACUUAAGUACAGUCUAGCGGUAAGAUUGUCAUAUUUAAACUUGGAGACCCAGGUUCGAAUCUUAGCUACACCAUUCUUGAUAUUUUGUUGAAGAAUUUAAAAAACCGCCGGUUCACGGUUCUUAACGGUUCGCACGGUUCGUCCGGUUCGUCCGGGUUUCAACGGUUCUCCAUGAACUUCCGGCUUUAGCAUUAGACCGGACCGGUGACAUGGCCGGUUCGCGGUCCAACCGGUCGAACCGGCCGGUCCGGUCCGGUUCUGAAAACAUUGACUAAAAACACCUUGAUAGCAAAUCAAUACGUAACAACGUAUAAAAAAUCAGUACAUAUAGUAUUUUUUAGUCAAUUGCAAUUACAGAAAGUGAAAAAUGUUAAAUGAUGAUGAUGACGAAGCAAGAAGAAAGUUAUGUAUUAUUUAGAUUUGGCUAUUGUUUUCACGAGAGAGUUCGUCUUCACGAGGAAGUGCCGGACCAAUUGGGGCGGUGAAUUUUUGGAACGCGUCAAUCUCAUUAUCUUUGACAAAACCCAGACGCAAUCAAUGUCAAUUUGCCCACUGCUUAAAACUCCCAAAAUUAGUCCAGCGUUCUUUCGCAUUAGAGUGGUCCCACUUUUGACAACUCACACUUGACUACUCUCAUAAUUUUCGACUGUGGUUGUAUGUUCAAAUAUCUCACUAUUAAAACUUUUUUAACAGUCUCCUUUCUAAUUAGCUUAAACUAAAUUCACAUCUUUCUCGAAUAGAUGGCCAUUCUUUGCCUCUCUAGAAACGACAAAAAUCCCAUCUGAUCAAGUGGAUGCAUGAUUAAUGAAAUUUAAACAACUUCACAACUUCAUAAGUGUGAUUUUUUUUCAAAAUUUAAUAUGAUAUUAUUGUAAAAAUAUUAUAGCAAUUAUGAAUCCGUCAAAUGCUAGAUAAACAUAAAAUACACGAGAAGUUAGAUAAAAUUUAUUGUAAAGCUGAAACUCUAAAAAAAAUUAAAUAAUAUUAUCUUCUUGUGAUCUUUUUAAAAAUUUGUCUAAUAAACAUUACAUAAAUAUUAUGAGAUAAAAAUAACUGUGAGAUUGAAAUUUUAAAAAUAUAAAAGUAAUUAUGUUUCUUACUUAAGUUACAUAUUUUAUACUUUAGAUAAUUACUACAUAUUUUUAUACUAGUUGAAAAGUAAAUUAACAUGAAAAUUUUGUGCAAUGGAUACUUUCUUAGCCAUGAUAACAAACCUUACUUUAUAUAUGCUAUUUAUUUAUCUUUUUCAAAUUGAGGUUACAUUUUAUAAAAAUUUAAAUAUUUUAAAAGAAUUUAUAUUUGAUAAAAAUAAUAUUUUUUGUAAGUGAUCAAAAGUUUAUUGUGACAUGUUUAUUUUUGACAAAAACGCUACAAUUCAUCCCACAAGCCACAAAAAAUAGCUAGCACAAUGUAUUAUAUUGCAUUGUAAGUUUAUAAAUUUAGUUUUUAGAAUUAUAUAUGUCGAAGCCUUUAAUUCUCAUCUAAAAUUAUUUGACUUAUCCAUUCUUCCAACUAAAAGAAUAUAAUCCAUAAACUUACAACAUUAAAAUUCCUAAACUAAUUUAAUUAACAUAACAAGAUUUUUUUUUACUUAUUCAUUUACCAGAUAUUAAUACAAGAUGACUUUUGGUGUCAUACAAAUAUCUAUUGUUGCUUAAAAAAAGGUCUAAAAAUUCUUCACAGUACAAAAAAUGUAAAAUAAACUCUUUAAUGAUGGUUACAUAGCUGAAACUAAUUUCAAAUUAAUGCUGCAAAAAUUUCUAGAACAAUUCAAUUGAAAAUAAGUGCCAAAAUUUUUAAUUCAUUUUGUUAUGAAUUUUUUAGUCAUAUAUAUAUAUAUAUAUAUAUAUAUAUAUACAUACAUACAUACACGCACACACACACACACACACACACACACACACACACAUAAUCUAAGUGCUUGAAAGUUCUCAAGUGUCUUCGGAGCAAUAAGACUCUGGCAACUGGAGCUUGUGGAAUUAUUGAGUAAAAAGAUUAGAAAAUAUACUACAAAAUAGUAUAUUUUUCAAGUACUUUCUAUUAUCUAAUAUUAGUCAAAGAAAAUUAUGUGAUAUGCAACUUCAAUCAGUUUAUGCAGAGACCAAAUUAGGACAACAAAUACUAUUAGUACUUUUUAUUUAAAAAAAAAAAAAGAAGUUACUAAUUGAUUGCAUAACACGCAGUAAAUUAUUCGCAAAAAAAUCUUGUCUUUUACUCCUUUUACCUGGGUCAGCAAGCAAAAGUCCAAAUAAUAUUCUUAUAGCACAGCAAAUUAACGUGCAAGCUUUUCCACCUUAAAAUAGACAUUUUUUAUUCAUAAAAUUGUAUAUGGCCAUAUUCCUUUUUUUUUUUUUUUUACUGAGAUCACGCACCAGAUAAAUGUGUAUUUACACGAUCUGCAAGUCUGCAAGGCAUGAUCUGUCACAAAGACUUGGUCUAGUCAAUGUAAGAAUCUUUACGAAGAAGUGGACGAUUAGUUCAGAAUUAACUUACACUAAAAACAGAGAAACAAAAUAACUUAAAUCAACAUAAACAUAUAUGUUCCAAUAUAGCUGUAUGUUAAAAUUUUAAAACAAGAAUCAUACAGAGUUAAUUUGAGAUUACAAUAAUAUAUUUCACGGAAAAAAAUUGAGAAAAAUGGUCUUAACCAUGGAGAUCAUAUUUGAUCAUAUUUCGGAAAGUAAAUAUACAUAGUGAGUACUUUGAUCUAUUCCACUUGCAUUUUGACAUGAAAGUGUUAAAAGGGUCUAUAUCAUUUCCACUUAAAAAUGUUUUCUUUGGGUUUAAGAAGUUAUACUAUGCAAAAACCAUGCUGACGAGGCAAAGUACAGGACCAUAACUAUAACUAGUAGUAGAAGAUAAAAGGGACUAUGGACUGGUGAAGGAAGAAAGGGACCCCUUUUUUUUUUUUUUUUCCAAAGUCCCAUAUCAAAUCCCAUCAAUUUCUCUUCAAACAAAUCUAGAACCCACUUAAGUACCUCACCCUUUGUUGUAUUUGGUCUUCCCUUCCUUAGCCUCAAGUCUCAACCUCCCCUUUUUUUUGCCGAGUCCAUUGCUCCAUUCAAAGCCCUUCUUCUCAGUCCUCACACCCCUUCUCUCUCUCACUCCAUCUCAAUCUCUUUCCUCUUCUUCUUCAUAUAUGGCCAAAGGAAGUGGACUCUCCUUUGAUCCAGAUCGCAUCGGAUUGUUCCUUCACAAACCAACUGUUAUCAAUUCACUUCUUCAUCAUCAAGAGGACAAAAAAGGCAAACACCACAACAAUUACCGCCACCUCCUCUAUUAUCAUCAUCAUCACAAGUUGAAGCAAGAAGAAGCACCAGCUGCAUUCAUGGAGAUGGAUUCAGCCAGUGCUGUUGUUAACAAGAGUAAUAACAACAGCAGGUCUUCACCACCUACUACUAUUCAAUUCCCAGUUAACCUUAACUGCUCUACCCAUGAUGAUGAUCAAGAUGAUGGUCCCUUGCCUCACAACAACUCUGAUCAUCAUCAAGAAAUGGACUUCUUUGCUGAUAAGAAACUGAAGACCGAUGAAUCCAAGGCAGCCACCAUCCCUCAUCCCGAUGCUAAUACAAAAGAUCUCAGUGGACCUACUGAUUUGGGAUUCAAUGUAAAUGUAAGUUUCGAUCAGAUUCUUGACUGAUUUUUCCUUGCUGGUAGGUCUUUUCUGCACUGGGAUUAGUGCUGAUUACAGAAUUCUUUCUUUUUCUGUAGACCGGCUUGCAUCUUCUCACUGCAAACACUAGUAGUGAUCAGUCAAUAGUGGAUGAUGGAAUCUCACCUCACUCUGAUGAUAAAAGAACUAAAAGUGAGGUAAAAACCACUGAUUUUGAUGCUCUUGUCUGUGUGUGUGACUGUGUGUAUUCCUGUUUAAUUUUUUCUUUUCUCGAUAUUCUUUCCUUUUUCAUUCACACUAUUAACAGCCCCCGCCUCCCUUCUCGAGGUGGGGACUAUUGAGGUGGGGGCUGAUAAUAGUUCUCCGGGGGUUUCCUUUAUAACUUUUCACGUGUGUCAUCUAUGAUCACGUUAGAAAGAUAAUUAUAACAAUGUUCUUCAUCAAAAUCUCAGCUAGCUGUUCUUCAAGCUGAGCUAGAGCGAUUGAACGGAGAGAAUCUACGUUUGAGGGAAGUGCUAACUCAAGUAUCCAACAAUUACAACAAUCUUCAGAUGCAUCUGAUGACAGUGAUGCAGCAGCAGCCGCAGCAAAAACAAGAUCACAUAAAAGCUGACAAUAUUGGUGAAGGACAAGAAGGAAAACUACCACUGGAAGACAACAAUAAUAAGCACCAACAAAACAGUCAUGGCCUAAUGGUGCCACGACAGUUCAUGGAUCUUGGACUAGCUGCCGGUGCCACUGUUGAGACUGAUGAGGCUUCUUUGUCAUCCUCGGAGGGCCGAAGCGGCCGGGAGCGGUCACGAUCACCGACGAAUAAUGUUGAGGCCAGCACAGGUGGUAGUGAUGGGAGAGAUGAUAGUCCAGAAAAGGGUUCGCAAGGAUGGGUUCCUAAUAAGGUUCCAAGACUAAACAGUGGCUCCAAGAAUGUUGAUCAGGCUACUGAGGCUACCAUGAGGAAGGCUCGAGUGUCAGUCCGAGCCCGGUCAGAGGCACCCAUGGUACAAAAUUUAAAUGAAUUAUGUCUAAAGUUAUUUACAAUUGUCAUCUUCAAAUCCAAUGGCCUUUUCAUUGAAUUAAUUGGAAAAAUUAAUGUUCUUGUUGGUUUGAUCAGAUAACUGAUGGUUGUCAAUGGCGUAAGUAUGGACAGAAGAUGGCUAAAGGAAAUCCAUGUCCCAGAGCUUAUUACAGAUGCACCAUGGCCGCUGGCUGCCCAGUUAGGAAACAAGUAUGUGUUUUGAAUUGCUAGUAAAAUGAUUAAUGGCCGAAUUCUAAAGCUAAAAUAUUUUGAUGAAGUUAGUACUUAAAAGUAGUUAGUAGAGAUUAUGUAUUACCACGUGUUAUUCUAGUGUGAACCCUUCUAAAAAUAAAUCUUUUGACUCAUUCAUUUCAACUGCAGCAUGAUCUUUUAGACCCACCUACUAUUUUUUCUAUCCUCUUCAAAUUUGUCAUUUUCUUGUUUCUUUUUGUGCUUUCUUGAAUUGCCACAGAAAAACAAUCAAAUUUGGUAUUCUCCAGUGUCGGUAAAUUUUUUUCUUUUUUUUUUUUAACUUAAGGUUAAUUUUGCUGCAUCAACAGGUUCAAAGAUGUGCUGAGGACAGAACAAUUCUAAUCACAACAUAUGAAGGCAAUCACAACCAUCCAUUACCACCAGCGGCGAUGGCUAUGGCUUCAACAACAUCAUCAGCUGCAAGAAUGUUGCUUUCAGGAUCCAUGCCUAGUGCUGAUGGAUUGAUGAACUCAAAUUUCCUAGCCAGAACACUUCUCCCUUGUUCAUCAAGCAUGGCUACAAUUUCAGCGUCUGCACCAUUUCCAACUGUUACAUUGGACCUUACACAAAAUCCAAAUCCAUUACAAUUCCAAAGAUCUCCGAACCAAUUCCAUCUUCCUUUCCCUAAUGCACCUCAGAAUUUUGUAGGCAAUCCAGCAGCACUUUUACCACAGAUUUUUGGGCAGGCAUUGUAUAAUCAAUCAAAGUUUUCUGGCCUACAAAUGUCUCAAGAUUCAGAUGCUGCCCACUUAGGCCAUCAAGUCCCACAAUUGCCACCAUUGCACCAAGGCCAGCAGAAUCCCUUGGCUGAUACUGUCACUGCCCUCACAGCUGAUCCAAAUUUCACUGCAGCAUUGGCAGCAGCAAUCACCACUAUCAUUGGGAAUCCUCAGUCAACAAAUGCAGCAAAUAACAGUAGUCUCAAUAUUACAACCAACACCAGCAACAAUAAUGGAAGUGUUACUACUAGUAACAACAAUAGCAAUGGAAACAAUAAAGUCCUCAACACAAGUUUUCCAGGGAAUUGAAAGUGAAGCUACUUUUCUUUUUCUUUUUAUUUCUUUUACUUCUUUUUUCUUCCUUAUUUGGCUUUACAUCAUUUUGUUUUACUAGCAUAAUACAAGUGUUCAUUAUUUUGGGCUUGGAGAGUUGGCUUAAACAUAGAUCAGUCCCUUUUGAUUAUUUCUUUUUUUUUUUUGAAUAAUGUAAUUCAAAUGUAUGACUCAAAUAUAUAGAAAAUAAAAUACUACUGCAAACGAAAAGAAAUUCCUAUGUACUAGCUUUUAUUGUUAUCUUUUGUACAUACACAUAUGGAAAAUUUGAGGAGCAUGCUUGAAAGGGAUCAAUUUAUUCUCAUUCAAAUAUUCUUUUUGCUUUUGUCACUAUUCUUGAUAGUUGUCUCAAUAUAGUGCCAAGAACAUAGGAAAAAAAGUAACAUUAACAUUUAGCAAAAAGGAGAUAAAAAGGGAACAAAGCUGGAGAGAAUGGUUGAAAUGUUCUUUGCAACUUUUUGUUAGUGUAUUUAUCUACAUAUACGUGUUGGAAAGUCCAUCAAAGUCCCUAUUGAUAUGGCAGUCAAGUAAGGAGUCAAUAAAACCGUCUCAAAGUUGUUAGAAAUUGAGGGGUUGGUUUGACACGGAAAGACGAGAGAAAAAAAGGAGGAAAGAGUGAGAGAAAAAAAUGAUAGAAAAGGGUGGAAAUGAAGAGGAAAGAUUUGGUUGCUUGUCUCUUUUGAAGUUGUCUUUUAGCAAUUUGGUCCACUAUGACAAAUGGUAGAGAUGAAGGAUUAAGAUGGAGAGAUAUCUACACGGCAACGUUCUUUGAUGUUGAAAACCAAACCAAUCGUUGUUGAUUUUGCGUGCAUGCAACUUACUUGUCAUGCUACUAGUAAGGUACGCAGUUGGAAAAAAUGUACAUUAGUUUUUCCUCGAAUUUAUUUCAACUUUAUGGCUUGUUUAUGGAAAAUUUUUGGAAGACUACACCAUAACUUGUUGGACCAAAUCCACAUUGCACUCUAAGCUUUAUAGCAUUGUUCACAUUCAACUAUAAGUAUUAAUUGUGAACAAUAUACACCCUAAAUUAUUUGUCCAAUAUUAAAAGGUGUUAAAAGAAAAGUUGACAAAAAUCAAACACUUCAGCACCACGUUUGUAUUUUGCACCAUUGAGCUAUAUAUAGAUACUCAUAUUGCAUUUCAAACUUCAUUUUUACAACACAUUGCAUCUAAAGCAUUUGAAUUGUUUCAAUUUGAUCCAAAAUCACGAAUAGUACUUGAAAAUUUUAUGGGAUUAGAGGUUAGUGAAUUCAAAUACUAGCUAUUGCAUCAGUGCUUCACGGUGACAUUACUACUUUUAGAUUUUCAUAAGAUUGUUGCUUUAUUCCAAAGAAAAAGAACCAACUUAACUGAAAGGAUCCCCCAAAAAAAAAAAAAAAAAAAAAAUCUCUAUAGUAAUAACAAAAUAAGUUGCUUACUUUUUUCCAACUAGUUGAAAUCUUUUAUGGGCUGACUAACCAUGUAACAACAAAAGUGAAGUUAAUGCCACAAACAACACUGCACUAGAUAAACUAGGCUUAUGCUUUGUUACUUGGUGAGUUACAAUUAUCACUGCUACCAAUAUAAGGAAAAUGUGUAAUGUAUGUUUAAAACAAAGUGUAAAGUUUUUGGCUAAAUGCAGAAAAGUUGGGCUUGAUUUAUCAGCCAAAUGGAGGAAAUGUCUAUCAAUUAUUUUUGACAUAUAAAAGUGGAUUUUCUUUAUAAAAGAAUAUCGAUGAUAAAAUUAAAUUUGAUUCUCAUGUGUCUAUGAUUUUGUCAAUUUUUUAAAGACAUUAAUGGUUGGACUAAAAUGAAAAAUUAUUUUAGCGUGCCAAAAGGUCUCAGAGUGAAGUUUGUGGUGCAGAAUGGGGAGCAAUAAAAUGUUUCUAAUUGAUGAAAGCUUUAUGCUCACAUGAUGUUAUCCAUCAUAUUUUAGUUAUUUAUCGGAAAAAAUGUGAAGGAUUAUUUACAGCGUAAAGUGUCUACAAUUAAAAUUUAGAUUGCAAAUUAAAAUUGACAUAAAAUUCAAAGAUAUAAAGUGAAAGGAGUGAAUUUCUUGCCAGAUUUGAUUUUCAGAAUAGUUAUAUAUUGAAUAUGCUAUCAAUUACUGAGUAAAUUGCUGAGUAAUUGUAUCAUUAUUUCAUGGUAGCGGUGUCUACAUCUCCAUAGACGACUUGGAAUUGAGAAAAUUGCCAAUAGUGAAGGCAAAAUUAAUGGCAUUUUUGUAUCCUUUCUCCUAUCACUUAUCUUUCCACAUGACUUGUGAAUUACGUAAUGAAAAAAUAUCUUCAUAGUUUCAAACUUGUCUACAUUCUCAAGUGGCAUCUAGUAUGUUACAAACAUAUUAAUUCCCAAAUCGUCAAUCCCUAUUGGAAAAAUACAACCUUGAAUUGCCAUUUCGGGGACCAUAAACUCAAGACUUUCCACCACUUCAUAAAAGGCCAAAUAAUACCCAUUCCAACGGGGCCAGGCAUGUGCGGGUGUGGCAUCAAGCAAAGCAUGUUAUUCAAGAAAAUGACAUUUGAGGAGUCAAUACAAAGUCUAGAUGUAUCAGGUACCUUCCUCUUGGAUCUUUAUAUAAGUUGACCGAGUCCAUCAAAGAAGAUAAACACAUACCUACAUACAAAUAUAUUGUUGAUUAGUUUAGUGGGGUUUUCUUAUUACAUAAAAAAUCUCUCUGCUAAUUGAUGGAAUCAAGGGAGAUUCAUGUAAUCUUGGAUUAAUUAGUGAAGACUUUGCUGACCCCUGUGGGGCCCUAAGAUGAUGAAACACACAGUCACAUACUGACUCUUGGUUGAGUUGAAAUAGGGAACCUAGCAGCUUAAUUGUUGUCACAUGUAAUCCAUCUGCAAGUAGUGAUUAUAAUCUAAGUCUAGUUGUUCGAUUGUAUCCCACAUAAAAUAUAUAUAUAUAUAUGUUAACCAUUCAGGAUAAGGUUGCAAAUUUUUUUCAACCCUCAUUGAAUGUGAUACAGUCAACAGUGUACACACAUUACACACUGAAACACACACGUUAAUGUGUUUGUGUGUGUCUGUCAUGGUUUAUCUCCUCUUCUUCUUCUUUUUUCCGGUGGUCAUUUAUAUUUAGAUGAAUGCUAAAGGUGUCAACUGUUCAUGUGAGCAAGGGAAUCCUCGAGGAGCUUUCAAGUGAAGUUUUUUGCCUUGUUAGCUGAAUAAAAAUCCUCCUUUAAUGACACGUCCGUUCCCUUUCAUGAGCUGCUUGAUUCUAGUGAAUUCUAUUCUUCAGAAAGAUUUAUCAAACACUUUAAAUUUGAGUUAAAAUUGGGAAGUUUUCAACUUUACAUUAGAAUAAAUAUCUCGAAAAUUGCGAGGACGAGCUUGCAAAUAUUUUACUUGUGCCUAUGAGCUUCUUAAGCAAUGAAACAUGGGAAUUGAAAAUUUGUUAUGUGCAAGAUCUGCAUUCUCCUUAUUCUCUUGUGAAGUUCACAUCAUUGGUUUGUUGCUACCUAUGCAUAGGGUUGUCAUAGUAGCACAAGCAAUUGUCCAAUGAUGAAGUAACUUGUUGCUUUAUCUUUACGAAGGAAGAGAUAACAACUUGGUGCUAAUUAGACACAGUUUGGAUUGAAGGAAAGUAGAGAGGAAUCAAACGAAAAGGAAAAGGGUGGAAAGAAAGGAAAAGAAAAGCAUGUUAUCACUCAGAAUCAAUAUUCACUACAUCAUUUCCUAUUCUUCACACACUGUUAAAAUGUUUUUUAAGCUAGAUGAUAAGAAUAUACGUCAAAGAAAACACAUAAUAGGGGUGUACAAGAAAUUUUUUGAGGUAUAGGUUAAUCCUCUAUAAACUAUAACCUUUGAAUGUGCGACAAUUAAUCUUAAUUUGAAUUUAAAAAUUUUGUAUAUAUGUCAAACAUUUAAUCAUAAUAAUGUGUACAUUAAUAGUGUAUAUAAGAUUACUUUUUUUUUCUUAUUAUUGUAAGACUUGAUUAUCAAUCGUUGGUUAAUUAAAACAAAAUUUGGAAGAUUACAUGAUUAUUCGGGCCAUUGAGGUGCCACUUGGGCCAUCAUGAAAGAACCAGGACUCACUGGACUCGCUUGGGCCAUUAUCAAACGACCAGGACAGGACUUGAUCCAAUCAAUGUGGACUUAAUCCUACAGAUGGACCACUUGAUCUGAUUAACGGAUUAUUUUAUGCUGGUAAUUUCAACUGGGCCAAGCUCUUAAAUUGUACAGCCCACAAUUCCUAAUAUAAUUGUUGUAGUACUAAUUAUUUAUGGGUAAAUUACUUAUUAUCUCCUAUAAUUUUAUAUAAUGCCAUGACCUCUAUAAGAUUUCAAAAUAACCACAUAAUCCCCUAUGAUUUAUUUAAAAUGAAAAAUAGACGGAAUGUAAAAUCAGUUACCUCGUUUAUACCAAACACGCUCUAAAAGCAUGUCUGCUAAAAUCUUAAACUCUAUGUAACCUCUUUAUAAUUUGUAUAAAUAUUCACGUUACCCUCAUGUGAUUUUUGCAAAGUAUAAAAAGGUAAUUAAGUUGUCAAUUGAUUUAACAUUUAAGUAAGAGUCCUAUUGAUAUUUUAAUUAAUGACAUUAUAUAGGUUAUUUUUCUUCAAGUUUCGAAUUUAUAUAAAAUCACAAGGAGUGAAGUUGACAUUUUGAAACUUUAGGGAGAUCAUGUGAUAAUAGACGAAACCAGGGGUUAUAAAUAAUUCAUCCUUAAAAUUAUCAACUGAAGCGCACGAAAAAACAGCACCAAGACGUAAUAAGCUUCAACUUAGCGAAUGAUAUUACGUAGAAUCACGUGUUAAGUUCGUCACAUGACUCCUCCUUCGGCAGCCAUGGUCAGUAUAUAGACAAAGAUAAAGAAAGUAACAAAUUUAUAACCUAUGAUUUCAUGUAAAAGUUCUUCCAUCAAUAACAUAAUCGAAUGAAAGAAGUUCUUACUUGACCCGUGGUUGGAAUGCUUGGAGGCUUCCCAUCUAUUCUUUUUUCUCUUGCCUUGCCGUUCCCUCUGUCUCACUCUUACCUUCCCCUUCUUUUGCUAGUUAAUUGUAAGAGAAAUUAAAAAAAAAAAAAGUGUUGGGAAAGGGUACCAGGUGCGGAUGCACAAUAUCAGAGUUAACUCAGGACAAAUUACUCUUUUUCCAAGUACCCGUUAAAAUAGAAACAAACAAAAUCACUAAACAAUGAUGUCAAUAGUAAUAAUAAAAUGCAGAACAAUAAAAGGCAUAGGACACCAAGAUUUUUAACGUGAAAAACCCAAAUUGAAAAAAAUCAUAGGAUCUAGUCCAGUAAAAAAAAAUCUCCACUAUCAUAAUAAUGUGAAUACACAAGUCUACCUGAAAUAUUCGAAUGACAACAAUAUCACCAAUAUCAAUCAAGUAAAAUUGCUACAAAAUCGCCCCUAAAAGCUACAACUGUCAAAGAAAUAGAUUUGGAAGGAUAUUAUCAAACGAAGAGGAAAUUUAAAAUCUGAAUCAAUAGAUAGGUAGAACUUGACGAGAGAAUCAUGUGGGUAAAAUUUCGUUUCAAUCGGUUUCGAAUCACCAUCCAAUCAACACUUUGAAGCUUUGUCUCUCUCAAAUUUCUCUUCCCAAAUUUCUCCCUCUUCGUUUCACUCCAAAAGCAUCUGGAGCAUUUUUUUUCACGUUUUAAGAAUGAAAACCCGCGGCCACUUGUACUAGUCAAGUUGAUUAGUGUGCAACGUCAUCUCAAGUCAAUUUCAUAAAUUGACUUAGAAAUCUAAAGGGCUUAAGUUGUGGUUUGGCCCACCAAAUGGGCUGGAUCACAAGCCUAACAAAAAGGAAGGGUUUUAGUUCUAUAAGCACAAAUAUUUUCGAUGUAAUUACAUAUAUAUUAUGUUUCUAAAUUUGAAUGCCCCGUCCCCGUGUAAUAUCAAUAGGUUUAAAUUACUCAUGACCUCUAUGUACUUUUGCAUGAUACCACAUUACCCCUCUAAGGUUUUAAAAUACCUACACAACCCUCCUAUGGCAUUAGAUUUCCUAAACAUAUCGAAUUAUAUCUGGUUGAAGGUAGAUUAAUGGUACUAUUCAAAAAAAUAAACAGGACCUUAAUAGAAAACUAAAAACAAAUAUGAAAAUGUGAGACAAAACGUAUAUUGUUAAGAGGAAAUUUGCAGGAUAGAAUAUGGAACUUUAACAUGCACUAACCUUUACUUUCAUCAAUUAGUCUAAUAUUACAAUGACACGAGAAAUUUAGGGGAAAUUUGCCAGAUGGAAUGCUGAACUCUCAUAUUUCAAAAAACAUGCGAUCAUUUGUUUUAGAAGGUCCAAUUGCCAUGUGAAUCCAUAACUAAAUACAGUAGAGAGAGGAGGUACAAUUGUUUUAGAAGCUAUGCGGUUCAUUAAAUUAUCUCCUUUGCAAUGGAAGACAAGUACACUAAACCUAAAGCAAAAAUCAACUAAUAUGUUCUAAUAAAGUAGAGAGUAACAAUGUCAGAAGAACAUUAUGGACACAUGACUUGAUCCUUUAGGAGACAUUAACAGCUCAUUUUCAAACAUUGCACGUAUAUCACCCAGAUAUUUGGAAUUUAUUAAUAACUCUUCAAGAACCGAUGCACUCUGCAGCAAAAACUUCAUAAAUUUAAUGUCAGCUGCAGUGCCCCUGUACUCUUCAUACUUGACUACCUUCAGAUGAGAUAAACAAGUUGUGAAGGCAUCAUUUCAAUUUCCUUGAGAUCGUCACCAUCACCAUCCGUGGCAUAAGUAUACAGUCAAAGUGUCAGCCAACAAAAGAGAAGUGGCCACCAAGUAAAGGAACUUAACAACCAUUGAGCUUGGCUCUUGGGCUGUGGGUGGGACUUAAAAUCCCUCCUUGGGCUGUGGGUGGGAGUUCAAAUCUCACCUACAGUGAAAAAAAUUUAAAGGUGGUGCCAAAACAUCCCCUUGAUCUAGUAAAACUUGUGUAUCUUCUAGUUCCCAGCACAAGCCUCUAUGGGUUCCCCCUCCCUUGUAGUUUAGGAUAGAAUAGGUUAGGGAUGGCAAUUUCUGACAUGACCUGAAAAUAUUACACGAACCUAACACAAAAUUUAAUGGGUUUGGAUUGAAAAUUCACGGGUUUGGAUCAGAAUUGAGUCGAACCCGCUAAGAAAACAGGUCGAAUUCGGAUCAACCCGUGAGUGACCCGACAUGACCGGAUAACCCGUUUACGAAUUAAAAAUAAUUUAAUAAACAUAAAAAUUAUUCUAUCUAACUAAACUAAGUUAUUCUUUUUUCCAAAGGCAUUAAUCACUUAAUCCUAAAUGAAUUUAUUUAACUUGUGUGAAGUUGAAAUUAUUAUAUUUGGACAAAUAAUGUAUUAUAUUAUUUUUUACUUUUAUACUGUUCUAAUUUAUUUUAUAUUUGGUUUGGGAUAAAACAAUUUUACGGUAUUUUAAUUUAUUUUGGAUUUGGUUUGGGAUUAUUUAUUUAAAUUUUUAUUACUUGAUUAUAUAAUUAGUUUUGUGAGAAAUUGAUUUUAUUAGAAAUUACAGUGACAAAUUAAUAAAUUAAAAUUAAAUUUUGGGUCAUUUCAGGUUGAUCCGCCAACUCGAAAUUUUUGGGUUUGGGGUCUGGUAUCCUGACUCGUUUCGGGUUGACGGGUCAGGUUCGGGUUAGCGGGUUUUCUAUUAUACCCGGAUCUCAACCCGAUUUGAGCUUGAUUGCUCCCCUAAAAUAGAUUAUACAACAGUUAUCGUCUCGAAAAAAAAAAGUAAAGGAACUUAACAAACAAAGCCCCUUGUAUGCUGUACCAAAAUAUGAACUCUAUUCUCAAUUAGUAAAUCAACAAAUAACAAGAGAAUAAAAGUUUAGACACCAAUUCUAAUUUUUGUACGUCACUAUAUUUCAACUGCAAUGCCAAGAAUAUUACUGUUAAAGUAGUGAACCACCACUCCUCAGUAGAGGCAACAAAGGGCAAUACCUUAAACCUAGAAAAAGAAAAAGAGAAAGCUGCUUCUCUGAGAUCGCUCCUAUUGAAUUCUCUGCUCUUUACAUUAAGAGUUGAAGUAAGAAUUAAUUCUUACAAAAGUGGUGACUGGCGACUGAAGGAAAAUAUUCAAGAUCCAUUUACCCCUUCAGCUGCUGAUUCAGCCAUGGAAAAGCAUGGCUGAUUCAGCCGGAGAUGACUGAUUUACCCCUUCAGAUGACUGAAAAGCAUCCCACGAUUUUGCAAUCAAAAUUUUGCUAGCAUUUCAAACAAUAACACUGUAGAACCAGACUUCCCAGAAACCAACCAACGGGCUAACAGAUUUGGUUUAAAAAGUAAUGAAUAAAAGAACUUUCACAAACUAACAAUAUUGACUUUGAAGAUCAGCAUUGUGGCAUGUGUAAUAAACCAUACACGCACAAAUCCAGGGAAAGAGAGCCAUGAAGAGGGGGGAAAUUAUAGUUACUUUGAUUUUGGGAAAUGGUGAAUGAACAUUAUUACUUACACCAGUAAAAGUGAGCAAUUCAAGAGCUAGUGCCCUCUUGAGCAAGUCAAUUAGUGCUUCACUGAACUUGUUACCUAGUCUACCUGAAUAGACUUGGAGGUCGGUCGGCUUAUGAAAAAUUGGAAGAGGACCCGAUCUUUCUGCAUGGGUAGCCUAGGGAUUAAUUAAAGUUAAGCGUCAAUUAAAGAGAAUGAUGAACAACACAAUGAUGUUGUCUAAAAAGAGUGUUCAGCCAAGGUAGAUAAUUAAGAGCCAAAUCAUAGCGAAGUACAAAAUUGGAAAUGACCAAAGACAAAUUUAUCCAGUCUCCUCCAUAUAAGUAGUACAGAUCUCGUGGCACUUGUACUUGGUGGGUAAAAUAACAACUUCAGAAUAGUUCUCAGAGAGCACCCAGUGGAAGGAGAAAUUAACAAUCUCAGGUAACAAGUAUUGCCCUUGAAAAUUCAUCCUUUUAACCUUCUCGAUUUUUGCCUUUGUGAUAGAAUGACAAAUGCUAAAUAGCAAUAGACAGCACAAGAAUAAAAGAAUAAUUCACAGAUUCUUUUCCUAAAUUAAAAUGUUUUAUCCAUUUCUUUUUUCAUGUUCUCCAUUAGUGAUUUCUUUGAUAACUUUGUCUGUUUUUUCUAAAAAUAAAAGAAAAAAAAAGAAUUCUCUAUUUUCUUGCAGACCAUAUUUAUCGAUGGCUUAUUGCAAAUGGAUAUAUGCUGCUGAAUCCAGGAUGAGUGUUGGACAACAUAAUGAAACAAAAGAUGAUUGAAAAAGCAAGUUCAGCUAGUAAUUAAAAGAAGGGUUUGCUAGAAUAAAAUGAUGGAGCAAUAAUGACAGCAUGCUCUGUAUGAAUAAAGAAACUGCAAGCAUUCUCUUAGACAUCAUUCUUCAUUAUCAAGUUACUCACAGAGCAUGCAAACAAUGUGAAAGACGCAAGCUUUGAGAAACUAGAUUACAGAAUCCAUUUUGCCACAACUUAUCUCAUCAGCUCUCGAUCUGAUUACAAAACAUACUACUCUCAGUUUUAUGCAUUACAUCAUGUAAUUUAUGAUAAGCAUGUCUCUAAUGCUUCAGCAGAGGUUAGGCACAGUUCAUAAACCAGCCCUCAACAAAAAAAUGAUAAUGCAUCCAUGGCCAUAUGCAGUUACAUGAUCUAUCGAAGAGAUUUACAUACUUUUUUUAAAGAAACAAAGAUGGGGCAAAAAAAAAGCCCAUCAUAAUAAGAUGAAGAAGGAAUUAACCUCAAUGAUGGGGCCGGGUAAUUCAAGGCAUCCGAUGAUAGGUGAGAAUCCUUGCAACAGUGUGCAAGCUCGAAAGGCAUUUAUUGAAGAAGAUCUUCAGGGAUGAAUAAACACAAAGGAGAUGCUACAACUACUGUUGACAGACUAGACAAGACAAACUUUUCUAAACAACCCCUACCUCUACACAAGAAUUUGGUAAGUUCGUUAGAACAAAUCUCCACUUCAAAUUCAGUUGAUCCAAUAUCACAAACAUAAUCUGUAAUCUCAAAGCUGGCAAGCAUAGGAGCAUCUAGUUUACUACUCUUCGCAAAGGACUAUUGACAUUUCUGAAAAUGAAGCUUUUCAAGGACUGGGAAGGUGAAUAGAUUCCUGGUGCUCUGUAAGCCAAGACUUUGAAUACAAACUGAAGAAGGGGCUAAAAUUUUAAGGUUUGAAUGAAGAGAGUCGUCAGGAAGACGAACAUCGCGUACUCGAAGCUUCAGCUCAAUUACGGAAUCACAACUAAAGAAAAUUUUAGGGAAAUUGAGGGGCCCAUCAUACCGAAUAUCAACCUUCUUAACUGUACACCUUAGCAUGGCUGACAUCGAUGUUUUCACACGACUAUGGUCAUAGUUCCAACGGCAAAAAAGCUGCAGUUCUUCAAACACCGUAUUCCUACAAAGUAAAAGUACCCUCUCCACAAAGCUCAUGAAUCUUCCCCUUUUAGCCUUAUUAUUGCAUGCCUCAAAAUUGCAUAAAUUAUCAUCAAAGCUGAUAUUGUAAAUGGAAGUCCAUCUGUACACCCAUUCUGUUGACAACACGCUAGUUCGAACAGCAUCUUUUGUCGGAAGAAGGGAUAGGAUGUGACUCAAAAUAUUUUCUGGUGGAUUACUGAUUCUGUCUGCUUUAUCCUCAUCACUUGUUGCUCUAUAGCAACAUUUCUUACUAAGACCGCUACUUCUAUCCAUUUUUUCAAUGUUUCAACCUGGGAAAAAAAAAGAAACAAAAGAAGAAAGUAAGUGAAAAAAAUGGUCCAGAUCAGAUGAAAACCCAUCAAAGCAAAUGUUGGUAACUCAAUCUUCAAGCUAACAAUCUCCAAUCUUGAAUUUCCAACAAGAAAAUGUUAAAAGAAGAAGAAGAAGUGUCUGUGACAUCACAUACUAUUGUUACUGAAAAUAUUCCUAACAGGCAUUUUCACAAAAGUCUAAUAGGCUCAAAAAGAAAAACCCAGUUGACUAGAAACUCCCAAGUACAAUUGAUUUGACAAUUUCUCCUGCUUCCUUUUCUUCUCUAUCCAAACAAGGAGAUAUAGAAACAUGAAAAAGUAAACAUUUUCAUUUCAUUAAUCACUAUAAAGAUCUAACGAAUGUGUCCUCUCCCUACUUCUUCAAUCCCAUCCCUCCCUGCCGGAAAAAAAAAAUUCAGAAAAGCGGAAGAUGUUGUGGCUCACCGAAAGAAUUUGCUUUGGUGAUAGCUUAAGUUGUAACGACCCCACCUCCCCCUAAGGCGAACCAAAGGGUUUAGCGGACCGCCUGCCCAGCUCUCGCCGGGACUCACUCACUUACUACAUUUCUCAAGUAAAUUACAAGGUACAACUCAAAUAAUACAUCCAAUUCUCCAAAAUUACAUAUCAUAAGCGAAGCGGAAACUAGUUCUAAGCGUAAAAUGUAGAUUUACAUCCGAUUCAAUUCCAAAUAUUUAUACAAGCCCAAAAGUACACAAACCAAAACUAAAACUAAACUAUACAAGAUGUACGCCAUCCAGCCACACAAAGAUCCAAAAACAAGUUUUUCCUUUACUUCGAUCCCUGUGGGGAGAAGAAGAUAAUAGGGGGUGAGCUAGAAGCUCAGCGAGUGACCAGUAAAAUCAACAGCCAAGUAUAUUUCACAAUAAAGCAUUGAUAUGAUGUCAUGAUGCAGUAAUCAAAUGUUCAUUUAUUGCUCAUGUGAGCCAGUGAAGUUCUUGUACUUAAAUAUCCAAUCCUCGUUUAGAUCAGGUAAUCAUGAAACAGAAGUAAGGAGCCAUCGUACUCCAAAGAAUGUGUAAACAAUAGUGGAGACAUUGGUUCUAAGCACAAGACUUUCCAGGAACUCAUUGGAGCCAAAUUAUGUCAUGGCAUACACCCAAACCCAAAUGAUAUGCAAUGGAGUAAUAAAUGUAGGAAUUAGUUCAAAAGUAACUUUGGAAAUAGUUGAGGGAUCACUCACUCAAACUAUAGUGCCUGAAGUAGUCACGUUCAAUUAUACUCCGGAUUUGGAGUCCAGAUUUGCGAUAAAAAUCCGAUUUGAGAACUUUGAAACACGAAUAAGAUUUGAAACUUAAACGUUCCGUUCAUAAGAAUCAACCAAUUGAAAUUCAUUUGAAAGGCAUUCGUGAAACACUUGCUCGCUUUUCAAAUCAUAAGGUUUUUGUAGCAUAUAUACUUGGAAACAAUACUUGAAUUGAAAGUACAAGGAAAUACAAGUUUACAUUGGCCAUUAUAUCUUUUCUUCAAGAGUACAAGUUCGUUUAGGUUUUUAACGUAUAACCAUCGAUAACAAAGUAGCAAAAGUUCUCGCUAGUUCAAGUGGUAAUCACUUAACCUUCACUCAAGUUGCAAAUAUAAUUUUCUAGUUCUCGAGUAAAAAUUCGGGCAGCAUGCCCUUUGCGUUUACCUAAUUUUCCAGCCAUUUAGGCUUCAUUAUUUUUCCUCAACCAAAACCCAACAUCACAUAUAUCAGCAAUUCAUGUCAAGAGCCGUUCCAUAGGCUCACAAUAUCAUAAGAUCAAGAUUCACAAUAAUAGCAAGUGCAGAAAUUCAAUUUAGCAAAAGACAGCUUUGACGUAUGGAUGCGGAAAUAACAUAUCCGAGGCUACGCUUAUCGGAUUGAGGCGCAACCUAUGCCGUUUCGAAGCUAAGACUCAGGGAUACAAUGUUCAUGAAGGUCACUUAGUCCAGUUUCUAAUGUAACUUAGUCAAAUCCUCAAAUUACAGAACCAAAAUCCACUUUGUCGGCUGUUUAACCGCAUUACACUGUAAUGGACAUAUCUCAGGUUGCAAAAGUCCAAUUCUGGUGUUCUUAGAGGCAUUUGAAAGCUAAGUCAGAAUACUACAACUUUCAUGUUUUGGAAAAAAGCUAAAUCAGUACGAAUCCUAGUCAAAAAACGUGAUAAACUGGACAAACUGAUCACACGGACUGCUGGGGAAAAACUUAAAACAGUAAGGGUAUUUUGGACUUUUCAUGACCUACGUUGCUCCAAUUGAGCUGAAAUUUUGUAGGGACCUAUAAAAUACCAUUCUCUACAACUUUUAUUCUUUGACCUAAGGCCAAUUCGGCAUCUAACAUAGGGUUACAAAAUCGGACAGAAUGUUGGGGAAAAUUUUCCAGAUUCUGGAAUUUUUUGUAAUCAAUGGAACUUUCUAAAUUUUCUUGUUCUAAUCACUACCAAAGCCCCUUAUAAAACCUCAAUUGCAAUAUAUAUAUAUCAUACAUCAAAUUGGGCAGAAAUUCCCCAAGCCCUAGUUCAUCAUAUAAAAGGGGAAAACUUCCAAAUUCAUCACACCCACUUGCAUAAUCAUGAAAUCAAACCAAAACUUAAGCUAAAAACACAUCUUAAAGCAAGAUUCAAAGCAACAAAGAUCAUGAUCAAAUGUUGGUACCUCAAAAACAAGGCUUGGUAGAGUGAUCCUUCACCCCCUUUGAUAUUUCUUGGUUCCUCAAGCUUUCUAACUCACAAGCUACCCUUUAAUCGGUUUGGAUUUGGAUUUGUUACUUGGGUUGAAGCAAAUCAAGAAGAUGGAAUUGUUUUCCUUUGGUGUUUUUCUCUCUUGUCUCUCUCGGCCAAGCAGCAGCAAAAAUGAAGGGGAAAGUUGUAAAAUUUGGAGUUAAAUGGAAAGACCAAGUCUUGGUCAAGAAGCUCUAAGGUGGCGACACUUGUCGCCACCACUACCUUCCAUUUUUCUCUUUCUUUUCCUUUGCAUUUUAAGCCUCAUAAUUCGGUCAGCCUUAGCUGUAAUUUAAGAAGAUAUUUUGCUCAAAUUCAAUAAGCUAGUUUGGUAAGAAAAAUGGUGAUCAAGUGGUGCGUUCAAUCGGUAGUGCGCGGGACCCGCCGGUUCGCGCCGUUUUUCUUAAAAACUCACGUACUAGGGUUUUUACUUCCCAUUCACUAACCUUAUAUCAUUGCUACUAGUCACAUAUUAUUUCUCACUUAAAAGUCACUUUUAAUUCCCAAAUUUAAUCCUCACUCUGUACCGAAAAUUCAUCCGGCGAAAAAUUACAAAAACCCUAGUUUUGCUCCAAACUUGAAACCGAAGUGUGAAACCAUACUUUCUAGGUUCAUUGGCACUCUUUGUGGGAUGAUUGAGUAGUAGGGCCAUUAUAAAGUGGUAUUUGUCAAAGAAAAGGGAAUUUUAAGAAAAAUAUAAGGAAUUUGCACGGCUUCUGGCCGAAUUGCCCACAAAACACUAUUCACCAGAAAUUUCUCCCUUUUCUUCUGCCUCAGGGCGUUACAACUCCCCUCCUUAAAAGAAUGUCGUCCUCGACAUUCCAACUUGUACUAAUCAGAUCAAAAUAAUUCUCGAAAGUCGAUCACGUAUUAAGAAUCAUUUCAAUCUCGCUUAUCAUAAUCAAAUACUAAUCAGAUCAAAUAUCACAAAGGUCAAUCACAUACUAAGAAUCACUCAUCACAAUCAAGUACUAAAAGUACUCCAAUCCAACUUAUCAAAUAAUCUUGAUCCAAUAGAUAGUCAGACGAGUAACUGGAUACAUAUACAAAAAGGGCUCGAAAUCGGACUUAAAGUCCCUGAUAUUUGGAAAAACAAUUCAGGACAUAACGAUAUCUCAGGUCAGAAAUUACCCCUGGUGGUGCUUUAUAACACAACAAGCUAGCACUCAGCUAUACUUCACCAGAGCCUCAGAUGCAAGAUUUUGUCCAUGGCGGUGCUGGACAACACAACAGGUUAGCACAACGGCUAUACCUCGCCAAAGAAUCUCAGUUCAAAAUUUCAUCCUUGGUGGUGCUUUAUAACACAAUAAGUUAGCACAACGGCUAAACUUCACCAGAGGAUCUUAGCUCAAGAAAUUGGCCCUGGUGGUGCUUUAUAACACAACAAGUUAGCACAACGGCUAAACUUCACCAGAGAGCCUCAAGUCAAUGUUUCAUCCCUGAUGGUGCUUUGAAACACAACAGGUAUGCCUCGCCAAAAGAAUGGCGGUGCUUGGUAACACAACAGGCAAUACCUCAUCAAAGAGGUUCAGUUCAAGAAUUUCAUCCCUGAUGGUGCUUGGAAACACAACAGGUAUGCCUCGCCAAGAGAAUGGCGGUGCUUGGUAACACAACAGGCUAUACCUCAUCAGAGAGGUUCAGUUCAACCGCUACAGAGGAGUAGUAGCCGGUCUACAACGAAACAAGUACGAAAAUGUUCAGAAACAGAGUCAAAAGCAGGGUUCAAGUAUAUCGGUUCAAAAGCAGUGUCAAUUAUUUCAGAUUCAAGGGACACGGGUACGAGGAGAAACUCACUCGCCUAGCUUAUGCCCAGUAAUUCACACUCUCAAGCAGUCAUCAAACUGAAAUCCACAUACAGAUCAUAUAUAAAUCAAGAUACUUGCUCAAGAGUAAAAGAGAUACCCUAUUUUCAGUUAGGUCAGGUCUAUCCAGUGUAUGUAAGGGUACACUAGCCGAUUCAAAUUCAAGUCUACUUACAGGUCGUAUACAAACCAAACUACUUGCUCAUGCGUAAAUGAAAUACCAUAUAUUCAGUCAAAUCACAACCACUAAGUGUACGUAAAAGCACACUUGCCUAAACAAUGUUCAAGUCUCAAGUGAACUCAGCCUAGUCAGUUUCCGGCAGUUCAAGUAGUUCAAAUCCCAACACUUACAAAUCGGGUGGUGCCAUCCUUAAUCAAACAAGAAGACUAGAUGAAGGUUGCAAAAUCAAAAAUUUUCUCAACAAUCCAGCCACCACCAUAAUGUAUCAAAACCCAAGCCAACACUUAUUGGACAAGUCCAAGUCAUUAUUUCAAUUUCCUCAUUCAGUUAAGUCUUGAGUACAAGACAAAAUCUUCUGCGCUCUAACCUGUGCCAUUACAACUUAUCUCAAACUCAAUCAUAAUUUCUAUUCACAUCAUCGUACGUUAAACCAUAUUCCGUCUAAAAUUCACGAGCAUUUCCUCAGGAAAAAUAUCAGGUACACAAGUACAAGAAUUCAAACUAAGAAACUUCACGACUCAGACCAUAUGGUUUUAAACGAAGCUCAUCAAGUCAUAUCUUACGUGUACCAUUUUCAAGAGUCACAACUGACGCUCCAAAAGAGCACUGAACGUACAAACCAAUCCCACAGUCCGGCAUCCUAAACUUUAAGCCUAGGAUACACUACAAAGAUCUGAAGCCUAAGCUCUGAUACCAUUUGUAACGACCCCACCUCCCCCUAAGGCGAACCAAAGGGUUUAGCGGACCGCCUGCCCAGCUCUCGCCGGGACUCACUCACUUACUACAUUUCUCAAGUAAAUUACAAGGUACAACUCAAAUAAUACAUCCAAUUCUCCAAAAUUACAUAUCAUAAGCGAAGCGGAAACUAGUUCUAAGCGUAAAAUGUAGAUUUACAUCCGAUUCAAUUCCAAAUAUUUAUACAAGCCCAAAAGUACACAAACCAAAACUAAAACUAAACUAUACAAGAUGUACGCCAUCCAGCCACACAAAGAUCCAAAAACAAGUUCUUCCUUUACUUCGAUCCCUGUGGGGAGAAGAAGAUAAUAGGGGGUGAGCUAGAAGCUCAGCGAGUGACCAGUAAAAUCAACAGCCAAGUAUAUUUCACAAUAAAGCAUUGAUAUGAUGUCAUGAUGCAGUAAUCAAAUGUUCAUUUAUUGCUCAUGUGAGCCAGUGAAGUUCUUGUACUUAAAUAUCCAAUGCUCGUUUAGAUCAGGUAACCAUGAAACAGAAGUAAGGAGCCAUCGUACUCCAAAGAAUGUGUAAACAAUAGUGGAGACAUUGGUUCUAAGCACAAGACUUUCCAGGAACUCAUUGGAGCCAAAUUAUGUCAUGGCAUACACCCAAACCCAAAUGAUAUGCAAUGGAGUAAUAAAUGUAGGAAUUAGUUCAAAAGUAACUUUGGAAAUAGUUGAGGGAUCACUCACUCAAACUAUAGUGCCUGAAGUAGUCACGUUCAAUUAUACUCCAGAUUUGGAGUCCAGAUCUGCGAUAAAAAUCCGAUUUGAGAACUUUGAAACACGAAUAAGAUUUGAAACUUAAACGUUCCGUUCAUAAGAAUCAACCAAUUGAAAUUCAUUUGAAAGGCAUUCGUGAAACACUUGCUCGCUUUUCAAAUCAUAAGGUUUUUGUAGCAUAUAUACUUGGAAACAAUACUUGAGUUGAAAGUACAAGGAAAUACAAGUUUACAUUGGUCAUUAUAUCUUUUCCUCAAGAGUAGAAGUUCGUUUAGGUUUUUAACGUAUAACCAUCGAUAACAAAGUAGCAAAAGUUCUCGCUAGUUCAAGUGGUAAUCACUUAACCUUCACUCAAGUUGCAAAUAUAAUUUUCUAGUUCUCGAGUAAAAAUUCGGGCAGCAUGCCCUUUGUGUUUACCUAAUUUUCCAGCCAUUUAGGCUUCAUUAUUUUUCCUCAACCAAAACCCAACAUCACAUAUAUCAGCAAUUCAUGUCAAGAGCCGUUCCAUAGGCUCACAAUAUCAUAAGAUCAAGAUUCACAAUAAUAGCAAGUGCAGAAAUUCAAUUUAGCAAAAGACAGCUUUGACGUAUGGAUGUGGAAAUAACAUAUCCGAGGCUACGCUUAUCGGAUUGAGGUGCAACCUAUGCCGUUUCGAAGCUAAGACUCAGGGCUACAAUGUUCAUGAAGGUCACUUAGUCCAGUUUCUAAUGUAACUUAGAAAAAUCCUCAAAUUACAGAACCAAAAUCCACUUUGUCGGCUGUUUAACCGCAUUACACUGUAAUGGACAUAUCUCAGGCUACAAAAGUCCAAUUCUGGUGUUCUUAGAGGAAUUUGAAAGCUAAGUCAGAAUACUACAACUUUCAUGUUUUGGUAAAAAGCUAAAUCAGUACGAAUACUAGUCAAAAAAUAUGAUAAACGGGACAAACUGAUCACACGGACUGCUGGGGAAAAACUUAAAACAGUAAGGGUAUUUUGGACUUUUCAUGACCUACGUUACUCCUAUUGAGCUGAAAUUUUGUAGGCACCUAUAAAAUACCAUUAUCUACAACUUUCAUUCUUUGACCUAAGGCCAAUUCGGCCUCUAACAUAGGGUUACAAAUUCGGACAGAAUGUUGGGGAAAAUUUUCCAGAUUCUGGAAUUUUUUGUAAUCAAUGGAACUUUCUCAAUUUUCUUGUUCUAAUCACUACCAAAGCCCCUUAUAAAACCUCAAUUUCAAUAUAUAUAUAUCAUACAUCAAAUUGGGCAGAAAUUCCCCAAGCCCUAGUUCAUCAUAUAAAAGGGGAAAACCUUCAAAUUCAUCACACCCACUUGCAUAAUCAUGAAAUCAAACCAAAACUUAAGCUAAAAACACAUCUUAAAGCAAGAUUCAAAGCAACAAAGAUCAUGAUCAAAUGUUGGUACCUCAAAAACAAGGCUUGGUAGAGUGAUCCUUCACCCCCUUUGAUAUUUCUUGGUUACUCAAGCUUCCUAACUCACAAGCUACCCUUUAAUCGGUUUGGAUUUGGAUUUGUUAUUUGGGUUGAAGCAAAUCAAGAAGAUGGAAUUGUUUUCCUUUGGUGUUUUUCUCUCUUGUCUCUCUCGGCCAAGCAGCAGCAAAAAUGAAGGGGAAAGUUGUAAAAUUUGGAGUUAAAUGGAAAGACCAAAUCUUGGUCAAGAAGCUCUAAGGUCAAACCCCUCCGGUAAAAUAAGAACAGCCCCUACAUUCAAACCCCCCUUUUUACCAUUAGCAAGAACUUGUUUUAGUUGCUUAUCAUAAGGAAUUCGAACAACUGCUUCAAAUACAGUAUCAGGAAGUACCGCCUGUGGAACCUCAAUAUCUACGGGCUUAUUAGCUAAAUGGCAAUUGGCACAUACAAUACGCCCAGUUGCUUCGCGUGGAUUUUCAUAACCCUGUUGUGCGAAAAUGGGAUAUGCAUUUGAAACGGCUGUUCGAGUUAUGAUAUAUAUCAUGAGAGAUACAGAAAUAGAUCGAGUAAUCUGUUCCUUUAUCCAAGAAAAAAUAUUUCUAGUUUCCAUGGUCCAAUCGUUGAUCCCAAAAUUUCUACAAUAGACAAUAAGUGGGGUAAGUCGCUAGUAUAGUUCCCUAUCCACGAUUCUGCUAGUUACUGGAAUAAAUUUAAUGGAAUAAUAUUUUACUGGAAUAUAAUUAUAGGAUGAAUCCCCCCAGAUGGGUCGAAAUAGAAAGCGUAAGUAGGACUUGCAAUGUUUUGUUUAUGUACAACUACAAAGUAACAAAGGUUCUGGUUGGAUUAGAUUAAUAUCAGUGGAUCUUUUAUCAGUCAUUCAUUGAAUGAUAAAUAACUACAAGCGAAGGAGAUACACGAUUUAAAUAACAGAAAAUCCAAUAUUUAAAAAUUGUAUCAAGAAUGACUGGAAAAGUGGAAACAAGACCAGAUAUAAUUUGAUCAUUAUGAACAAAUCCAAGAUCUUUGUAGACAGAGCCAACCAUUAGUUCCCAACCAUGAGGUGAAU
rnacentral:lncRNA from 1 species